GAUCGAUUAAUAGCUUUGUAACCCUUUGUUUCUAUUCAUUUUCAGAUUCAAGAUGGAGCUGAUUUUCAGAAAGAAGAUAGAACGACUGUUUGCCUCCGCCGUCGAUCUCUCCGUAGCUAGAAAUAAUUUGUAUGUCUCCUCCGUCAUCGGCAUCAUCCUUUGCCUGCUUCCCCGUAAAAAUAUAGGAGGAAAUCUCUUCGAGGGACAGCCAUCGGCCUUCUAUGCCCUGGUAAUAUCUGUCGUAUUUACUUUCACCGGUUCGUUCACGGCGUUGAUGAUAGGAGAUAACUCCAAGACUUCAAGAUUCUGCACACUUUAUUCCUUGGUCGCCAUGAUUUUAGCUUCAUCAAUUCUCGCUCAUGUGUUUUUAACAUGAAUAGGUGCCUUCUACUUCUCUUACAAUAACCAUAUCUCUUCUUCUGCAUCUGGCGUUGAGUCUUUGGAUCUGGUGAUUGUAGGAUCUAGCCUUGGUUUUUUUUUUUUUUUUCUUUUGAAUGAAGUAUCUGGUUAUUAUCGGCGAGUUAUUGGGUAGUAAACGGACUCUAUGUUCUUUAAUUCUCCUGCAUUAAGCAAGAAAUUAUGUUGUUCGAAACUUCUGCAUAAUCUCUUUGUUAAAAAGCUUGACAGAGCAAUUACUUUUUUUUUUCUCUUAACAAAAUUUGCUAUGGCAAUUUGGUCCCGUUUUGCAGAACCCUAAUUCUCAAAAUUCCCUCGUUAUCCUCAAUCUCUACGAAAUCAUCUCAAUUCUUACUAGAUAUUCACUCCCAAAUCUUAACAAUGGUGAAACUGAAAGAAUUUUUUUAAUGGAUAAUAAAAUUCUUAUUUCAAUAUCUAUAUAAGAGGAAAAGCAUGCUACAACUUGUUGCUGCAUAUGACUCGAACUUGUAUGAAUGCAUCCUUGUACGCAAGCUUGAUAGGAAGAGUUCGGAAAGAUUUCCCCUUCAUAGUAGAGAUGAACCUCUUGAACUUAUCUAUCAGUUUUUGAACUCUUAUUCAAGUAGCUUGAUUAUGUUGUCGAGUCGAACUUGAGUACAUAAAAUAAGAAUCAAAUCAAGCUUGAGUUAUGAGCUUUGUGAUCAAUCCAAGUUCCAACUUCUCACUGCCUCUCUCCAUGGUAUUCCAAAUUUUGCAAUGUAUGUUUUUUAUUUUGAGAAUGGAAACACUUUCAUUAAAUGGAAAUGAAAUGAUGUAACAUCAACUUGGGUACCAUCUGCAUCUGAUACAAAAUAUACUCUAAACUAGCAAUAUUGUCAGCCACUGUAUUAGCUUCAUGGAAAGCAUGCUGAAAAGAACAAAUUCAGCAGGUAAUUCUUUCAUGUCCUCCAGUACUAUUUCACAAUCCAUCAUGUUUGAAUCAUCUUUCUGCACUUUAAGAAUUGCUUUAACCGAGUCCCCUUCCAGUAUAAUCUCAGAGCACUGCCUGCAUUUGUUGCUGUUGAGGCACGUCUUCACCUUGCCAGAAUGAUGGCAAAAAAAAAAUUCACCUGAUCAUUUCCUGAUCUAAGCAUGGAUUUCGAACACCUUUUUACUCCAGUUUUUUGGGGAUGAUAUGUCAGAAAAGAUAGUAUCAAUGAUGUCUUCUUCAUCACUGGAGACUUUGGAAGUUCGAUGGUAAUAGACAUAUGUUGAAGCUUGAAUCUAGGCUUGUAGACCUUGUUAUGGCAACUUUCUCAAUCUCUCUGAUUAUUUCGUUUUCAUCUAUAGUUUGGUGUAAAUUUUGAUCAACUCACUUCGAGGAACGUUCUUUUCAAGAACAUUCACACUUCAUUUUGGAUCACUUCUGUCUUGUAAUUUCUUAUUCCUUGAAAUGCCCAAAUUUUGUACUAAUUCAACUGUUAAUUUACAAUUAGUAAUUAAAAUCACAACCAAAUUAAGUCUCCACGUAUAUAGAACAUCACUUCCUUUCUUCAUUUAUAGAGUCUUCAACUUGACAAAGCAGCACAGCAUCGUAACCAGCUAAGACAAAGGAAAAACAUGACAUCGACAUUCUUCUGCAAAAUGAAGGGUACUCCUAUUCUAAGGACAUCCAACAUCAAAUGGUUAAAACUGGAAAUCUCAACUUGAAAGUCUGGUGUUUGAAUCCUGCAAUUGUAGGAGCAUGAUCAUGAAAUAGGAAAGAGCUAUGUCCUUAGACGAAGGCCUGGUGAAUCUCCUUAUGUAUGAAAAAAGCUUGAAGGGGGUUAGUCAUGCAAGAGAAAGUUCUGAGAGGAAACACGAUUACAUGCCAUUUUGCACAUUGUCUCACCUAUAACAUGAGCCAACUAACUAAGCUAGAAAAUUCCCGUGCCGUGCAUUGAAUGCCAGCUUAAAAUUACCUUCAAUGUAACAAAAAGGAUAUGGUCUGAUUGGACUAAUUUCCUCUCUUGACACCAAUCUUCUGUGCACUGAAUUAUUCUCAGUUUGGAUGCAUUUUUAAUCGUAUGUGGUAAAUUUCUCAUCUUCAUGCAUGCCUUAAUCAAUAUUGUCUCCAAAGAGGGCAUUGUAAAGAGACAUGAGAAAUGGAGCAUAGUUCUGGCAAGUCACGGAGCUGCAAAAUUUUCAACUUGGGAAGGGCGUGGGAUUCAGACUAUAUUUACAUCUUCAAUAAUCUCCUCCAUGAUAUAGCAGUCCUCCACCUGCAGCUUUUGUAACUGAGAGAGUCGAAUGAUCAUCCCAUACGGAAAAAGCAUUCUAAUGCUAUGGCAUCCUUUUAAUGUGAGAGUUGUGAGGCUACAGAGGCUUUUAGAUUCUAUUGAUCCUCGCCAGAUAUCCUUCAAUUUUGGUAGAUUGUAUAUGUGUAGGCUUUUCAAGCGUUCAAAUUCAACACCUGUGCUGUCAUUGACUUGAAAUGCGAUACCUGUUCUGUCUCUGUCUAUGAUGCUCUCCAAUUCAUUGCAUUCCUCAAUGAUACAUGCUUCCAAACCUUGUAAGUAAUCAGAACGGAAGACUGAUAAACUGGUAGCAGUUUGGUGACCAAUCAGUUCAAAAGCUUUUGCUUGCCUUAGUACCUGUGAAAUAGAAUCAGGAAAUCUGUCUCCUUCAGAAAACCUCAGGUGCUUUUCUGCUGAGCAUUCAAAGACUCUAAAUUCAGAUGCAGAACUGUUUCUCUGACAACCAACAACGAUGCUGAAUGAUCUGAAGUUAUUGCCUGCUGAAGGUGUAUCAUUUCCUUUCCAUGAUUUGCUAUUCUGGAUGAAAGCUUUGAAAGACUCCAUCUCAGGGAAGAAGAAACAAAGAGUUGUUAACUCUUCCAACUGCAUUUUGAUAUCUGCUGCUUCUAUGGCUCACACCAAUGCUCAGUUCUUCUAACUUAGAAAGCCUUGCAAUCACAUUAGAAGGAAUCAUCGGCUUCAUGUCUUCAACAUGGUUGUGGUUACCAACAUGUUCUGUGAAAGAAACUCUCAAGCAUUUUAGAUUAGCCAAUUGUCCAAUCUCAAUGGGCAAACCAUAGAGACUGGUGUGACGUAUAUCAAGGAUUUCAAGGUUCUGGAGAUCUCCUAUCUGAGAAGGAAGCUGUACUAACUGACUAAAGUUGUUUAAAAAGAGCCCUUUCAGAUUUAUUAAGCUGCAGAUAGAUGAUGGGAGUGCAGUGAUUCUUGUUUGAUACAAGUUAAGAACUUGAAGACCACACAUAUAGCCAAAGAAUUCCCUCGGAAAUUCAGUCAAGCUACUCUCCUGUAGUAACAAUGUUAAGAUCCCACAACAUUGGGGUCUUCUUGGUAUAGUGGAUAGGCAAACCCGAAAGAGUGAGACUCUCCUUGCACGUUCCCACUCUUCCAGUAUAAUGUUUUCAUCCUCAGUAAUGAAAACAUUUGAAUUCUCUUUGAGAUUUGCAAUCCUUAAUGCCACCCGUUGAAAAUGCUCAUACAUCUUGAAAUGCCCCCACUUUCUUCCCUUUUCAAGUAAGGACUUUCUCACAAAUUCAUCUAAUAUGGCAUGCCCCCUGUCACGUGUCCUUGGAAGCUUUCUUAGGCUUGAAAGGAACUGUUCUGCUCUCCAGCAAUCAAUUAUAUGGUCUCGAAAAAUUUCAUAACCAGCAGGAAAAACAGCCCAAUACAGCAAACAAGGCUUCAUCUCUUCAGAUAGUCUUUCAUAGACAAGUUUGAAAGCCUUGUAAACUUCUUCCAGUUGUUCUUGCGGUUCCAUUCUAGGGGAUCUUAAUUGGGACAACAUAUCCCGCCAUAUUGCAGGGUCAUCCACCCUUGCCAAUCUAUUGCCUAUUAACUUGAUCAUGUGCGGCAUGCCACCACAUUCAUUGAUAAUGAGUUUUGCAACUGGCUUGAUAUCUCAAAUUUACCAGAUGCACCCACCGUGUUAUGCAAAUUUUCCAUUAUCGUGGUCUUCCCCACUCCCGGAGGUCCCCAAAUGCAGAUUCUUUUCAAUUGCUCAUCCUCUAGCCACUCAACCAGUGUUUCUGCACGCGAAUCAAAUGAUGGCACAUCACUUUUUUUCCGAGCAUGCUUCUCUAUAACAGGAAUAGGUGGUGCUGGUGGCUUCUCAUGCAUUAUAGUUAUUUGGGUUAGCUGAUUCCUCAGCUCAACUACCGCUGCUGUCUUCUUUACAAUAUGCUUGCCAAGCUUCAGCAGACCAGGAAAGGGACAUAGUCCACACAAGAAUGUGCUGGUAUUUUUGUACUCAACCUUUAGUCUUUCAAUCUCCUGUCUCAUUUUAUCCACCUCAUUGAGCCAGGUUUCACAUCUGUUUGUCUUUUCUUUCGUCAAUUUGUUCCUAUCCAGAGUUAUUUUAACAUCUUCAUCUUCAUUACACAGAUAUAAUUCCUCCUUCUCAAGCUUGGCCAUAUUCUCUUUUAUAUUCUUCACAUAGCCAUAUUUGCACUUCAAACAGUUAAAUAUACCCUUCCCACCUUCCACUGCCGGUGUAACUAGCGAACCAGCCGCUUGGCCAGCUGCUUGCACUGCCAGAGCUUCCAUCCUGCCAAUCACUUUCUGAAAAAGUAGAUCAGUAUAAGUGAAAUCAUGCUUUAGUCUCGAGCAAUAUCCAUAUAUAGUAUCAUAUUUUUUGUGAUCUUAAGCCCACAAAUUGGUAGUUGCCAUUGGAUAUCACAGCAAAAACAUGAUCUAAAACAGUACUAUUCUACCCAUUGAGGCAUCGACCAUUGUUAAAUAGGAGUAACAGACAAAUCAUUGGUAAUUUAAUUGAUUGUUUUCAAGAUUGGACAUGAAUUACUGCCACCAAUGGCUACUUUUUUUUUUCUUCUGCUAAGAGUCAACCCUGCCUCUUAGUUACCGGAGGCAACGUUUCCUAUCACCCAAUAAUCAGAAUCAACUUGAAAUGGAAAAACUUGUCAAAAUUUCAACAUCUCAACAUCUUCUCAAGGAUGUACUGAUUACAUGCAAUUUACACAGAAGUUUUCGAGUUUUUCAACUUUCAACAGAACCCAUCCAAAAAUAACCCAAAAGAUCUUGAAUUCCAAGAAACAUCUGAGCUACACACAUGAAAGAGAUACUUAAACAAAUUAAAAAAAACAAAACAAAGAGAACGAUAUGACAUUGUAGUUGUUUGAAGCAACACAACACAGUUCAGACAAGAAAAGAAAAAGUGGGCAUACCUGUAAAUCGAGUUUGUUUAGUUCAGUUGCGUUCUGUCUGGGAAUUGGGUUGGGUGGUCUUUUUCUGGUUCCUGCCUGGGGUGUUCCUGUUUGAGGUUUCUAUCUGUCUUCCUGGAAGUUGACCUGAGGCAGGUCAGGCUAGGUCAGCCAGCCAGUUUCAAGCUCAGAAUCUCAAAGAAGUCAGUCAAUAAUGUUCCAGCCAGCCCAAAUGAUUAUACAGUAGAGGGACCCACUCAUCCCUGUCGCCUCCUUCUAUCUUAUUUUCAUUGCCUUUUUUUUAGCAUUUAUUUAUUUAUUUUUCCCAGCUUGCCUCGGUCCAAUAGUUGCUCCAUUUUCCGUACUUUUAUUUUUUAUUUAAAAAAAAAACAGAAAGACUAUUUUCCGAAGUUGAAAAGUAAAAACAAAUGUUUUUUUUUUUAAAGAUACGGUGCAUUUAAGGAUAACUUUUUUUGUUUUACCAAAUUAUUAAUGCUAGAAAUGUUUUAAGACAUUUUUUGAAAUUGUUUUAAAGACUGUUAAGUGGCAACAAAAAGUUUUCUUUUCUGUUUAGUAAAAUCCAAUGAAGCUGAGGAAAUUGGCCUAAUUGGAAACCUGCCCAUGAAAGCAAAAGCAACUCAUCAAAAGGAAGGAUGAAUCAUAAGAAUUUAUCUAAUGAACCAGCCUCCUUUUUCUUCUUUUGAUGGCCUGCAAUAUUUUCUACACCAUGUCAUUUAUAGCAAGAAAUUGAAUAGUAUGUGUCACCUAUGAAUUUUUAGCAUAGUUCAGAACCACAGGUUUGGUCCAUUGGCUAGUGUUUUAUGUGUUUUAUGGCUCCUGCUGGAUUUCAGGGUUUUCCCCCAUUAACCAGAGCCAAAAAGGAAAAGAAAUGCAGUAUUCAACUCCUUCCCAUCUUCCAAAUGUGAAAGAAAAUAAAAAAGCAAAGAUAAAAAGAUGGAGCAGAUCAUGCAACCAUUUCAGGUAGGUAAAGGCAUCAAUUGUUAGAGGUUGGGGAGAUACAGAUCCAGGAUUCAAUGUCCUCACCACCUUGCAUCCUGACCAUUGUACCAAAUUAAAUAAAUAAAUAAAUAAUAAGGGCAUACCAAUAAGAAGAUAAAAUUAUAAUUUUCCUUGUUGCUGGUAAUCUGGAAUCUGGAGAUUGUUACCUGACAUCAAGGGAUCCUGCAACUUUUUUAAAUAUUUGCAAGAACACUGAUAACCGGAUUCUUAAUUGCUUAUUAAGUAUAAUUCAAAUUUUGAUUAUUGUAUAAACUAGAUAGACAAAAUUCCUAGUACUAUGAUUAAGAAUUAUACUGUACCUUCUCAGAAGACAAAUUACCUUAAAUUCCCUCGUCCAACUCAAAAUAGUCAUUUUGAAUAGCGUCCCACUUGACUUUUUUGUUUCGUGUUUUAACGCCAUAACCUUUAGGACUCCAUCAAGACUACCUGUGCAGAUUGUGCAACCAUCUUCAACCUCCUCCCCUGAAUGUCCCAAAAAUGCAGUAACACAUCUGAUAGGUCCUCUGUGGCCUACCAAAACUGCUAGACAAACAUGUUGACCAUCUUGUUCCCUACUCCAAACCCUGCUAGAUGAAUCAGCUGAACCACUAAUCACAUAAUUGGACACACUGGCUAAGCAGAUUACUGCAUGAGUGUGACCUUGGAGGGCGCCGCCGUAUUGCAGUUGGCCUGACAACCAACCCUUAAGCCAGUAAUGUACGUAGCCAUCGGUACACCCUCCAUAUAACACUCCCCCGUCUGCAGUUAAAGUUAGAGUUUUAACAGGUAAGCAUUUGGCUGGUAAGGUUACCAUGAGCGAAUGUGGCCAUUCCCCUCUACAAAAAUUUCGACGCCAAACUCUGAUUGUGGCAUCAUCAGAGGCAGUGUAUAGUAUUCCAUCGUCAGCCACAACGAUAGCAUUGAUUGGUUCUGAAUGUGCAGGGAUGUUCUCAAUGCAUUUGAGGUCUGAUAUUCUCCACACUUUCACAGUUUUAUCAACAGAUGCUGAGUAUAGAAUGUUAUCUGAUAUGUUGACUGCUAGUGAUGUUAUUGAACUUAUUGAAGUUGAUGAUGUUAGAAAAAUAAGUAAAGAAAUAAAAAUAAUAAAAAAGAAUUUUGACUUUGAAGUGUAAAGAAUAUUUUUUUAAAAGUAAUUAUAUCUUUAAGAUACAAUAAAAUUUUAAACUUUUUGAUCAUAAAUAAUAAAAAUAAUUAUAUUAAAUGAUUUAUUUCUAAUGAAUAAAUAGAUAUAAAUUUUAUUCAAAUGGUUAUGAUUAAUUGUAUAAUCAAGACUUAUAUGAAUAAUUUUUUAUUUAUAUUUAAAUAAUUAUGAUAAUUUAUCAUAUAAUAAUUAUUUUUAUUCAAAAAAAUUAUUUAAAAUAUAAAUAAAAUUAAUAUAAAACUUAAUUUUAUUUACUAAUAAUUAAAUCUUUUUAUCCAAUAUAAUAUCCAUCACAUUCUAAACUAUUCACAAACGAGAACUUUGAUUUUGACAUGACAGAAGUUUAGCAAAGAAGCCUCUCAACCAAAAACGAAAGCAAGCUAUGCCAAUGUGGAAUUGGAAGCAGAAGAUGAAUUAAUUAAAAGAGCCACCAAGUUAUAAGGAAGCAUCACAAGGUAGCAAGUGGAGACAAGCAAUAAAUGAAGAAAUUUAAGCUUUGGAACAAAAUCAGACUUGGGAUUUGGUGCCUAUACCGGGUGAUCCAAAGCGCCUUUCUUGCAAAAGCUGAAGUGGAGUACCAUUGGAUGGCUCUGAACUUUGAUGCUGCAACCCAGUACUACCACCGCCAUUAUUAGGAUUUCCGUAGUAUUCGUCAAGGGAUGCAGAAAAGAGUCUCAUCAUAUCUAUAUAAGAAACAUAUACGAUAAAAUCAUCAUUAUUCUUGCUUCAAGCCAAAAAGGUUAAAAGGGCAUAAAGAUCAAAGUUUUUUUCAAGCAAAUGUAUUAGUCUGAGUCAAGCUAAAAACCUUAAUGAAAAUUUAUUAUACUCCUCCUGACUCAAGCAAAUGUAUCUGAUUUAAUCAUUUGAAAGCAAAAGUCAUUCUAAUUAUGCUUGCAAGUUAAAGAAAGCAUUGUUUGUUCUAAAGCAAGUAUCAAGAGCAGGGUAUUGCAAAAGUUAGUGAGUUUCUAGUUCCAUGUGUUUAUGAAAAGAUUUGUCAAAUCAGAAAGAACUUGUCUGCACGCUUCCAAAUGAAACAGUUCAAUGAAUUUAAGCAUUUUCUUGGACUUGGAGCAGAGAAGAUAGGCAUUAUAACUUUUCUGGUGUCAAAAGGGAAAAAUUUAAAACAAGAGAAUCCCAUGGAAAUAAAUAAAUCCUAACUCCUUAAGGAGUUUGAGGAAGUGAAGUAAGCAAAUUUAAUAUCGGUGAUAUUGAACAUAUUUAAAAAUAUUUUUUCAUUGAUUUAUAUCAAAUUUAAUUAAUUCAGAUUUUUUUUAUCUAAUACUAUCAAUUUUAUCAUUUUUAACUGAAAACAUCUAAAUACAUCUAAAGCUUCAUAAAAAGUCAUAUUGUAUUUACCGCUUCCAAAGAAAUUAAAAAAAAAAAUCGAGCACCUUCAUAAAUUUCUUUCCGGAAGAACCAAAAAACAUACCGAAUAAUUCAGACACUGAAUCAACAGGGUAUCUGGAUUCCAUUUGAAGGAGCAGAUUACAAAAAUCGGACGCCCUCCCAGAAAGGAUAUGAAUGUAGGCACCACCCUGAUAGAGUGAUAAAUCGCAAAAGUUCUUAUGGAACUCAUCACGUUUUCUCGAAUCAGAUCAUGGAGGUAAUCUGGAAGAGCAGUGGGAAGCAAUUAAGGAACUUAUAGAAAUCAACUUCAGUUUUGAAUGGUAUCGGUAUUGUUCUCAGCCAUAAUUGUUUGCGAAAAAAAAAAAAAACGAUUUGAGAGAUGCAGAUUCGAAUUUAGAUUUUAGAUAUACAGGGAAAACAAAAUGCUCUAAACUUUAAAACCUUAAUUUUAUCUUUUUAGACUUUAUUUUACAAAAAACGCGUGGUGAUGAUGUGGUGGACCCCUCUCCAUUUUUUAUUUGAAUAAGAUUGGCACCGUUGAUAUUAUAUUAUUUUUUUCCCUUGAUUAAUAGCUUUGUAACCCUUGUUUCGAUUCAUUUUCAGAUUUAAGAUGGAGCUGAUUUUCAGAAACAAGAUAGAACCACUGUUCGCCUCCGCCGUCGAUCUCUCCGUGGCGAGAAAUAAUUUAUAUGUCUCCUCCGUCAUCGGCAUCAUCCUUCGCCUGCUUCCCCGUAAAAAUAUAGGGGGAAAUACAGUUCCACUACUCUUCGAGGGACAGCCAUCGGCCUUCUAUGCCCUGGUAAUAUCUGUUGUAUUUACUUUCACCGGUUCUUUCACGGCGUUGAUGAUAGGCGAUAGCUCCAAGACUUCAAGAUUCUGCACGCUUUAUUCCUUGGUCGCCAUGAUUUUAGCUUUAUCAAUUCUCGCGCAUGUCUUUUUAUCCUGAGUGCUUCUUAGGUUCCUUCUGCUUCUCUUCCAAGAUCCAAGCCUCUUCACCUGUCUCUGGCUUUGAGUCUUUGGAUCUGGUGAUUAUAGGAUCUAGCCUUGUUUUUCUUUUUAUCUUUUUUCCUUUUGAAUGAUGUAUCUGGUUAUUAUCGGCGAGUAAACCAACUCUAUGUUCUCUAGUUCUCCUGCAUAAAGCAAGAAAUUAUGUGUUGAAACUUUUGCAUAAUCUGUUUGUUAAAAAGCUUGGCAGAGCAAUUACUGUUUUUUUUUCUUAACAAAAUUUGUUAUGGCAAUUUGGUCCCUUUUUGUAGAAACCCUAAUUCUCAAAAUUCCCUCCUUAUAAUCAAUCUCUACGAAGUCAUCUCAAUUCUUACUAGAUAUUCACUCUCAAAUCUCAACAAUGGUGAAACUGAAAGAUUUUUUUUUAAUGGAUAAUAAAAUUAUUAUUUCAAUAUCUAAAUAAGAGGAAAAGCAUGCUACAACUAGUUGCUGCAGAUGAUUCGAACUUGUUUGAAUGCAUCCUUGCACGCAAGCUUGAUAGGAAGUGUUCAGAAAGAUUUCAGAAAGAUUUCCUCUUCAUAGUAGAGAUGAACCUCUUGAACUCAUGCUUUAUCUAUCAGUUUUUGAACUCUUAUUCAAGUAGCUUGAUUAUUUUGUCAAGUCGAACUUGAGUACAUAAAAUAAGAUUCAAAUCAAGCCUGAGUUAUGAGCUUUGUGAUCAAUCCAUGUUCCAACUUCUCACUCGCUCUCUCCAUGGUAUUCCAAAUUUUGCAAUGUCUAUUUUUGAUUUUGAGAAUGGAAACACUUUUUAUUAAAUGGAAAUGAAAUGAUGUAACAUCAACUUGCAUACAUCUGCUUCUGAAUCUAACGAAGCAAGCUCCUGAUACAAAAUGUACUCUAAACUAGCAAUAUUGUCAGCUACUGUAUUAGCUUCAUGGAAAGCAUGCUGAAAAGAACAAAUUCAGCAGGUAAUUCUUUCAAGUCUUCCAGUGCUAUUUCGCAAUCCAUCAUGUUUGAAUCAUCUUUCUGCACUUCAAGAAUUGCUUUAACCGAAUUCCCUUUCGCUGUAUUCUCCUUUAUCCACGGUGAAGGGAAUUUGAAGAUCAAAUCAUAAUGCUAAAAUUUCCUUUGCCCUGCAUUUGCUGCUGUUAAAAGCACAUGUCUUCACCUUGAGAGAAUGAUGGCAAGUAACUACUCCCAGCUUGGCCAAAACAUUCACCUGAUCAUUACCUGAUCCAAGCAUGAAUUUCGAACACCUUUUUAACAUUCACACUCCUUUUUGGAUCACUUUUCUUUAGUCAUUUCUUAUUCCUUGAAAUGCCCAAAUUUUUUAAUUUAACUGUUAAUUUACAAUUAGUAAUUACAAUCACAACCAAAUUAAGUCUCCACGUAUAUAGAAAUACCAUUAUGGCUAGUACAUCUUGUAUAAGAAACAAUAAACAAACAGAAAAACCAUCUUAGAACUUGAGAAACUACAACAUAAACGUAGAUCAAAACCGGACUUGAACUAAAAAGGAUUCAAGGUCCUUGCCAUUGGGGACAUUGCUGCAUUGGCACACACUUCCUUUCAACCUUUAUAGAGUCUUCAACUCGACAAAGCAGCACAGCAUCGUAACCAGCUAAGACAAAGGAAAAACAUGAGAUCAACAUUCUUCUGCAAAAUGAAGGGUACUCCUAUUCUAAGGACAUCCAACAUCAAAUGGUUAAAACUGGAAAUCUCAACUUGAAAGACUGGUUCUUGCAACUGUAGGAGCAUGAUUACGAAAUAGGAGAGAGCUAUGUCCUUAGACGAAGGCCUGCUGAAUCUCCUUCUGUACGAAAAAAGCUUGAAGGGGGUUAGUCAUGCAAGAGAAAGUUCUGAGAGGGAACACAUAAUUACAGGCCAUUUCGCACAUUGUCUCACAUACAACAUGAGCCAACUAACUAAGCUAGAAAAUUCCAGUGCUGUGCAUUGAAUGCCAGCUUAAAUUACCUUCAAUGUAACAAAAAGGAUAUGGUCUGAUUGGACUAAUAUCCCCUCUUGAUUCACACUCUUAUGAAACUGAGAAACUUUCUCAAAUCAUCUUUAAUAGUGUUAUUUGGCCAAUCCUGUUGGUUAUAUUAGCAAGUUCCAUCCAUGAUAGACAGAUGGAAAAGAAAUUAGCAAGUUUCAUUAUUGUCAUUUUAACUAUAGUUUAUCAGAUUAUUUAGCUAUUUAGUUGCUGAAAUAUGUUUUGCUUGGAUUUGGCAUCGCCCUUUAUUUCCUCUUUAGACCAAACUAGCAAGUGUUUUUUUUAUAUAUUUAUUUUUUGUGUAAAAUAUUUUAUAGGCAUUCUUUUUUUUGCCAAAAGAAAAGAACUUUAGGCAUUCAGCCACACUGAUUUAUUGAAUUUAAAUUUAAUUGGCUUUUAUUAACUGUGGAAUUUUGUUUUUUUUAUUUAAUAACCUAGUUUAUUAGAUUUUUCAGAGUCCAUAUAAUUACCUAAUUUUAAAUAGGGGAAAUUAAUGAUAAUUAUAUUAACAAUUUUUCCUUCUUUCGAUAAGAAAAUAUAAAGAAAAAUUUUGGUUAAACAAUAGAUAAUACAUACGUUUACUUCUAAGUUAAUAUUUGAUGAUUUAUUAUCCAUACACUAUUAAUAAAUUAUGCAAUAAUAUUUUAUAAAAAAUUAUUUUAAAUUUUUAAAAAAUAAAUAUAUUUGAUUUUAAAAAUGAUUAAAAGUAUAUUUAUUUAAAAUUAAUUUUUAUCUGAUAUCAUUGAUUGUAUGUUUCAAUGAUAGUAUAUAAUAUUUAUAAAUUAAAUAAUAUAUCAAAUAUAAAUUUUUAAAAAUAUGCAUAAAUCAUUUUUUGGAAAAAAUCCAUCAAAUAACUUUGAAUAAUUUAUAAUUUCUUUUAAUUGUUCUUUUUUUUUUAUUAAAAAUGAAAUACAUCUCUUAAAAAAUGUUUUCCCAUUGAUUUAAAUAAAAUAAAAAUGGACUAAGUGAAUUUAACCAAAUUAAAAUAGAUAACAAUAAAUUUAAUAUCAACCCGAAGUGUAAUAAAAGAUUUGGAAAUUAUCCUUAUAGUAAUUUAGCAAACUUUUUUGUUUUGUUUUGUUUUUUUUUUGGAUAUUUAGGAAAAAAAGAGAAAAAAAAAAAGAAAAAAAAAGAUAAGGCCAGUGGAAACAUGAAACGACGUCGCCUCCCUUGAAUGCGUUUUGCCUGCUUGUAGCCGACUCCCAUAGAUGGAGUUGGUAGCACGGUAACGCAAGUUCUCAAUAGCAGAUUUGCAAGUAUAGGUUCAGCUGCCGCACUGAUCGACCAAUACAACAUCACUGCCAUCCUGUGGUCAGUCUUUCUCUCCGCUUCUCAAAGUUCUUCUUUUACUUCUAAACAAAAACCCAAAACUGAAAACUUCCCUUUUUUUUCAUUUAAUACUUCUAUCUUUUACCAUUUAUGGUUUUAUAGUAAUUCUAGAAGAAGCUAGAAGUAGGUAGUGAAGAAAAAUCACAUAAAGCCUUAGCUUUCAAUGUUAAUUUUUGUUAUCUUGUUUUUUUUUUCCUAUCAUUUUCAUUAAAUUUGAUUGAAAGAUUGAUUUUUUAUUUUGUUUCAAGUAAAAAUAAUGUAGUUAAUAUGCAUAUAUCUUUAUCUUCUUAUUAUAAAUUCUCAGUUGUCAUGAAAAAAGUUUGUGCUUGAAUUGUUCCUAACAUGGGUUUUGCAGUUAUAAUUCUCUCACCCUCCAAUGGCUGCUGCAAUGGAAACUUCACCAGCUUUGGAGAUUUUAGGUACUUAAUAAUCAUAAUCAUGCUUCUCUUUAGAAUUCAGCUCUAUGUAAUAUGUUUUUUUUUUUUUUCUCAUUUUUUUCAACUUUUAUGUAGUUCGAGAACCGGAGGGAUAUUCUAUCUGGAACGGGCCUCCAUUCAACAAUAAUAAUCAACUUGGGAUUAAGCUUGAGAAAGUUCCUUGCACUAGUGCCAAGUUUAGCGAGGAUGGUUCCAGGCUUAUGGUUACGAAAGCUGAUGCUGCUAUUAGUGUUUAUGACUCCAGCACUUUGAAAGAGAUUAGAUGUUUUCAAAUCCCCAAUGUUGCUGCUUCUGCCUUGUCCCCAUGUGGGACUUAUCUUCAGACCUUUCAGAAGUCUACUACACCCCAGGAAAAGAAUGUGGUUUUGUGGAAAAAAGAGACUGGUGAUUCUGUUUACCAGCAAUUCCAGAAAAACAUGACAAAAGCCACAUGGUACAAUAUAUAGGCAUGCAUAUUUAUGGUUGCACGCAUUAUUUGUUGUGUUAUAAUAGUAUUCGUGAAUUUUUUAAAGUGUUCAGUCUGGAUGUUUGCUUAACAGUUGACAAAUGAUGCCAACUUGGGGCAUUAAAAUCCUUCAUUUUUGCAUCUUCUGUCUCCCUAUGUCUUGUUUGCUGGGAUGUGUGUCUUUGAAUUGAUAUUUAGCUUGGUUGUAAAUCUGCCUCAGGCCCUCAGUCCAGUUCAGUUCUGAUGAAGCUGUUGCAUGCCGGCUUGCUACAAAUGAAAUACAGUUUUUUGAUGCUUCAGAUUUCUCUAAAGGAAUUUCUCAUAGGCUGAGAAUUCCCGGUGUGGCUGCAGUUGAGCUUUCCAAGGCUCCUGGGUCCCAUGUGGCAGCAUUUGUUCCAGAAUCUAAGGUUGGUGUGCCCUUGGUUUCUGCAGGUUUCUUAUUAUGAAAAUAAAGAUCCUAAGAAGCAUGCGGAAUUGGUAUCACCCUAUUCUGGAUUAAUAAUUUCCACGAUUAUUCUGUUAACAUGGUGCAUCUUGAAGUUGAACUUCAAUCUGUUUUAAUUAUAGCUGAAAAGGAACAGGUCAAAGUUAAUUAAAAGUUUAUAAUAAAUACUAUAUGAUUUGAUUGGAUAGGAACAAGGUAUUUCAUUAUGCAAAACUUGAGUAAAAUCUGGACCUUUUGUGUUUUAAUUGACUUCUAAGGAGUAUUUAUCUUAUUUGCCAAUAAAAGGAAUAUUAUCUCUAGCAUUGGAAACUAGCACAUGCUCUGGUUCUCCUUAAUGGAACUUUGUCAAAUUUAAUUGCAAAAUUAGAAAAAACAACUUUCUGUCAAGAAGUAUCAAAGGUCAAAUAAUAAAAAGAGCAUAGGAGUCAUACUGGGGAUGUUAGAUACUGAUAACUGACAAGAAGGGAGCAAUUCAGCUUGUGGGAAGCAUGUCAUCAAGGGCUAGCAUGUAGGAAGUCUACAUAUAAAGUGCCUUAAAGCUGUGGAAGUGCUUGACAUGGGAGCCUAGCUUUUUACACUUACAAUACAUUUGGGUUUGGUUUUGUAUUUUGUAGGGGAGUCCAGCUAGUGUCCAGAUAUAUGCCUGUGGGAAAAAGUUGCAGAGCCAACCUCUUACUUGACGAAGCUUUUUCCGAUGUUCUACAGUGCCACUAAAUUGGAAUCAUGGUUCAACAGGACUUCUAGUUGUGGUGCAAUCUGAUGUUGAUAAGACUAACCAGAGCUAUUAUGGAGAAUCAAAACUGAACUACCUUACAACUGAUGGGACCCUUGAAGGACUUGUGCCCCUUCGUAAGUUCUUGCUUAAAACUUUUGCUGCUUAUUCUUUUUAGUCAGAAAGCAACAUAAUAUUUUUUGCUUCUUCAUCAUGUACAAUUUACUGACUAUGUAACGUAUAUUGGCAAGUAAGGAGGGGCCUAUUCAUGAUGUUCAGUGGUCAUUUUCUGGGAAAGAGUUUGCUGUUGUUUAUGGAUGUAUCCUUUUCUGCCUCUUAAAAAACUUGGCACUUGGUAGGGUGUUUAAUGCUCGCUUGGGGUGAUUGGAUUUUGAUUUUAACUGGACUAUAUUUGGCAAGUUUAUUUAUGAAACUCUAAGGAAUGGGAUUUGGAGCGAUAAUUGCAUGCACUUUUGAUCCAUUGAAGAAGGCUCCUCCUUGAGUAGAUCCUCUAAUGCAGUACAUACAAAUAGUCAAGAAGCUUUUCUCUAACAAUUCUAAGGUCUAGAUCAAAAUUUUCUUAUGGUUUUAUUUUCUGUGUCAGUUCUUUGGGAAAAUUUAUGAGAGAGUGUGCUGUUUGAUCUAGCUGAUGUUGCUCAUAUUUGUGUCCUAUUGGGACUUUAUUAUGCACCCAAAAUGGGUACGUUCAAUCUUUUGCAAUUUUUCCCUUAUCUUUAGUGUCAUAUGCCCUCAAUUCACAGCAAUUGUGAUGUGUCUGACAUGUCAAACAAGGGUGCUGAUAUAAAGAGUACGGUAGCAAAGGGUUAGCCUUUCACUUCAUUUGCUAUUAAUGCUUUCUGCAACUGUUUCUGUGAUGAUUGUGUUUCGUCUUAACAUAAUUUCAGUUAUGCCUGCUAGUGCAACAGUAUUUGACAAUAAGUGCAAACCAUUACUUGAGCUGGUAUCCAGUCCUUAAAAUACCAUUCGAUGGAAUCCAAAGGGGAAACGUAUCCUUUUGUAAAUAAUUUCCAUGCUUUUCUUGCUUUGUAGUUAGUCUAAUGAAUUGUAAUCAACUUAUCAGUUUGCUUUUGACUAUACAUAUUUGUAGCCUUAAGUAUAUGAUAUACAGUUCUGUGUUUGGCUGGUUUUGGUAACUUGCCUGGUGAUAUGGUAAGUUUGCAUGUUAUUUGCUUAUUUGCUGAUGUCUGGUUUUGACUAUACAUAUUUGUAGCCUUAAGUCUAUGAUUUCUCUAGUCUUUAUAUUUUUUUUCCUUUUGCUGAUGUCUUUCUCCAGCAGGGUUUUUUUUUAAUCCUUAUGUUGAUAGUAAUUAACUGUAAAGAGUCAAGUUUGGUGUUUGGGUGGAUCAUGAAUUUGUUUCCCAGGAGUCAGUUGACCUUUUUUCUUGGAGGUUCAAGUUGUGUCACUAGCUCAUAUCUACGUUGUUAGAUUGAGAUUUUGGGUCCUUUGGGGAAUAAAUGUUACUUUUAUUCUCCACCUUUUUUUUUUCCUUGGAGAUAGAUUCUGUCUUUUUGUUUCCCUCCUAACGUGGGGGAGACUCGUUUGGGUUUUGGUUUUUUCAUGUUUCUUCAUUAGGCCUGUUCUCAAUGGAUCCCUCUGCCUCUCACAUUCUUAAUCCAGCUAAUUUAUGUUUAAUUUUACACUUCAGGCAUUCUGGGACUUUGUAGAUAAAAAGCAGCUUGGAACAACUAGGGCUGAAUGUUCUGUAACAAGUGAGUGGUCUGCUGAUGGAUGCUAUUUCAUGACUGCCACAACAGCUCCCAGACUCAAAGUUGACAAUUGGUAUGUUAAUUAUUGAUGUUUUCUUAUAAUGAAGAUUUACAGGGUACAGAGGAGUUUUGCAAUUUACAAGUCACCAUAAUAUUUACUUCUAACAACCUGUUCUAAUAUAUGGUGUACUUGAUUUUAAUUCUUUUGAUGCAUUAAAUUGUUUAUUACCUUGUUCUUGUCACAAAGCAUUGGAAAAGAGAAGCUUCUUUCCAUUGCUAUGAAUUUGUUUGCUUUUGAUCUAAAGACUUUUUUAAUGCAUUACUUUAGAUGUAGAUGACAAGUCUUUGUGGGAAAACACUUAUUUACAGCUGGUUGUAAUCUUGUAAUCUGUAUAUCUAUAUUUGUAUAUCUAAAAGUAAGUAUUUGUAUCCCUAAAAUUAGGAUAGACAAUCCCUCAAUUAUAGGAUUAGUUUUUUAGGAAGAUUUAGUUUCCUAGUUUAACCCCUAGUUAGUUGUAUAUAAACCUAAGAUUCUUGUAUAAUUCUCAAUAAGCAGUUUUCCAACAUACAUUUAGUUUUCACACUGAUUUAUUUCUUAGUUUUUUCAUAUGGUAUCAGAGCUUUAGGCUCUUCUUGGGAAACAAAAUUUUUAGCCUUUAUUGCUGAUUUUUUUAGGCCUUUAUUGCCGAAUCCUGUUUAGGCCUUCAUUGCCGAACCCUUUCAAAGAAAGAUAUCACUACCACCCAAUUUGAGGAAAUGUUAACCGGAAAAAUCACUGGAGUAUUACAGAUGUCUCAGAAACAAGGAGAAUUCGACAGGAAAGAGAUUGAAAAGCUGAGAAACUUAUUGAAAAUCCUUGAAAAGCCUACUGUGGUAUGUUCUUUGGGUAAGGUUUCUAGUUCAGGUAAAGCUUCUGGUUCUCAUGGAUUAAAUGUCUUGGUUAAGCCUAUUACGAGUUCUUUGGUCAUUGACUCAGGAGCCACAGAUCACAUGACACAUUCCUCACAAAAGUUUAAUACAUAUAACCUGUGUCCUAGUAAUAAGAAAAUUGUUGUUGCAGAUGGUUCACUUACCACAGUGGCAGGAUUAGGAGAUGUUCAAGUUAAUCCCUCGUUUGUUCUAAAAAAUAUUCUUCAUGUUUCUGGAUUGUCUACUAAUCUUAUAUCUAUACAAAAACUUACUAGAGAUAUGAAUUGCAAAGUAAUUUUGUAUCCCUCUUAUUGUGAAUUUUAGGACCAGAGUUCGGGAAAGAUGAUCGGACUUGCUAAGGAGAAGGAUGGACUAUACUAUCUUGAGAUAUCAAAUAACACAAGUAGUAUCAAGAAUAGUUUACUUUUGUCAUUUCUUUUUGAAAAAUCUUCCAAUAAAGAUAAAAUCUGGCUUUAUCAUUUUCGUCUUGGACAUCCUUCUUUUGGAACCUUGAGAAACAUGUUUCCUUCUUUGUUCAAAGGAUUAAAUGUUGAAGAUUUUCAUUGUGAUGUUUGCGAACUUGCAAAGCAUAGACGUGUGUCUUUUCCAAUCAGUAACAAAAGAAGUUCUACUCCUUUUUACUUGAUUCAUAGUGACAUUUGGGGUCCCUCUAUAAUUCUUAAUAUUUCUAGUGCAAGAUGGUUUGUUUCAUUCAUAAAUGAUUAUACCAAGGUCUCUUGGAUUUUUUUACUUAAAUCCAAAUCAUAUGUGAAUAGUGUGUUUUUAAGCUUUCAAUACAUGAUCCAAAAUCAAUUUGGAGUGAGAAUCAAGAGAUUUAGGUUUGAUAAUGCAAGAAACUACUUCAACCAGAAUCUAUCUACCUAUUUUCAAAAAGAGAGGAUUAUCCAUGAGUCAUCUUGUGUUAAUACUCCACAGUAGAAUGGAGUGACAGAGAGGAAAAACAGUCAUUUACUAGCCACAACCCAAGCCUUUCUUUUUCAAGCAAAUGUACCUAAAUUUUAUUGGGGGAAGCUGUUCUUACUGUCACACAUAUUAUAAAUAGGUUACCUUCAAGGGUUUUGGGAUUUAAAACUCCUAUGAAACUACUCUCACAAUGUUAUUUCAACCUCAAUGCCACAAACAAUCUCACACCUAGGAUAUUUUGUUGUACAUCAUUUGUUCAUGUUCACAGUCAUAACAGGGGAAAGUUGGAUCCAAGAGCGAUUAAGUGUAUUUUUGUGGGGUAUUUUUCAACUCAAAAAGGAUAUAAGUGCUAUCAUCCUCUUAUCAAAAAAAUUUUUAUGUCUAUAGAUGUCACUUUUGAAGAAAAUAAACCAUUUUUUACUCAACCUUAUCUUUAGGGGGAGACUUCAUUCAUGGAAGAUAAGGAUAAAGACUUUUUUUUGCUUGAUUUGCCCCCUUCUUCAACAUUUACACCCAUUAAUUCUUCUGAGUCGAAAUCUGUUUCAGUUGAGCCCAAAUCAAACAAUGAAUUUGAGUCUGAACCCAUUCCAAAUACGGAAGAUGUGACAAAAGAUAAUAUUGUUCUUGAUUCUAAGAAGGAAUUAUAGGUGUACUCAAGAAGGAAAGUUUCAGAUCUUGAACCAGUGCUAGUGCAAGAACCUGAUCCUAACUCUGAAAAUGAGGUAACUACAGUUUUUGACUCUGUUUCUCAAAUGAGCAUGAAUCUCUUAUAACUAGUAAUUAUGAUCUGCGUAUUGUCAUUAGGAAAGGAACCAAAGAAUGUACCAAGCAUCCACUAUACCCAAUCUCUAAUUUUGUGUCAUUUGAAAAGUCCUCACCAUCCCACAAAAAUUUUCUUGUGAGCCUAAACACUAUUUUUGUUCCAACUACAUUAUCCGAGGUAUUAUCCAGUGAGAAAUGGAGGCAAGCCAUGAAAAUAGAAAUGGAGGCCUUAGAAAAAAAUCAGACAUGGGAACUGGUAGAGUUGCUUAAAGGAAAAAAUCCAGUGGGGUGUAAAUGAGUUUUCACUGUAAAAUACAAGGCAGAUGGUACUGUUGAAAGGUAUAUAGCCAGGUUAGUAGCUAAGGGUUACACUCAAACCUAUGGAGUGGAUUACCAGGAAACUUUUGCUCCAGUUGCCAAGAUAAAUACAAUUAGGAUUUUGUUAUCAUUGGCUGCAAAUUACAAUUGGCAGCUUCAACAAUUUGAUGUAAAGAAUGCUUUUCUACAUGGUGAUUUGGAAGAAGAAAUAUAUAUGAAGGUUCCACCGGGAUUUGGAAGUCAUCUAGAAGCAAACAAAGUAUGCAGGCUGAAAAAAGCUUUAUAUGGCUUUAAACAGUCUUUUAGAGCUUGGUUCGGGAGAUUUGCCAAAGUGAUGCUAGCAAUGGGAUAUAAACAGAGUCAAGGAGAUUACACAUUGUUUAUCAAGCACUCUGAUUCAGGGAGAGUCACAGUUCUAUUAGUGUAUGUUGAUGAUAUAAUUGUAACUGGAGAUGAUGAAAAAGAGAGAGAAUCUCUAAAACAGUGUUUGGCAAGAGAAUUUGAGAUAAAGGAGCUAGGGAGAUUGAAGUACUUCCUAGGAAUUGAAGUAGUUCACUUACGGCAUGGUAUUUUCAUCUCACAACAUAAAUAUGUGAUGGAUCUUCUGAAGGAAACUGGGAAGCUUACAUGUAAACCUGCAAAUACCUCUAUAGAUCCUAAUCAUAAAAUUGGAGAAGCUAAUGAAGAUGCUACUGUAAAUAGAGAGAUGUACCAACAAUUCGUUGGAAGACUCAUUUAUCUCUCACAUACUAGAUGUCACGGUCCACGCGUUCCUCCUACUGAAACCACGCGACCGUGCGGCACCAAGACUAAUCAUAGUCAAGGUCAGCCUUCUAUCGUGUCCAUUUUUUCGCGGACAGACCAUUUCUGAUCCUUCGAGCCACAUGCCCGUUAGCCUUUUCUGGCUUUUGACCCCGUAGGGUUGCUCAUUCCAAACUCUAUAGAGAGGAACCCAUCUCUCAUCGCACAUUGGCCCACGGUUCUCCAAUUAACCAUGAGCACCCAGCUCUGGCCGCAAAGCUUAAUGCUUCGAGCACCGACCCUCAGAUCUCGUAGGGGCACACAGCUCCAGUUCUCAUGAUGUUAUUACCUCUUGGCAUGAUGAGAACCCAACACCAUGCCCGCCCGUAUGAUACGCAAGCUCCCGUAUCAAGUUUACGCAAGCACCUCAAAUAAGCUGGUCAGCAGCCAGCUCGGAGCCUUUAGGCUCAUCUCGUCCCACGGGACUCGGUUCUUAGGGCUCAGGCCCUUAGCAUCAUUAUCGGCCGCCCGUAUGCAUGAUUGACACCCCACAUCAUGCUAGUCCCACAAGGGGACUUGGGUGUACUGCCCCAGUAGCAGUACACCAGCCCGACUGGCCACACGGGUCUAGCAGCGUGCCUGCCUGCUAGCCCGCACAUCCCUCUGGCUCGAUGGCAUCCCUCCUACGCAACACCAUCACAUGAAUCCUUCCGGCUCGAGGAGGGGAAACCGAGGGGCCUAGCGAUCUCUACCGCCAAACCCAUGGCUCAACGCAAAGGCGCGAUACGAGGCCCGCCGGCCCCAACCGUCCUCGGGUUUACCUUACCCGAGGAAACAUCGUGCCACGCUCGUGACCCUACGAUGCCCGCCCACCUAGUCACCACGAGUGCCUAGGAGUAGCUCACUUCAGACUAGCCAGGCCCCCGCCUGCCCGCUAGCCAAGGGGGUGGUGGAGAGCUGACACCAGAUCAUCCCCCUAUAAAGAGCGUUAGAGAUUUUCCCAAUAUGCUACCAGUGACCGUAAGAAUGUCUGAAACGGGGACACUUUUCUGCCCAGCCAUCCUAGGGCCUUUCUCCGGCUAACUCAGGCCCCGUAACCUUCCUCUUGGUCACCAUUGCUCCUUGAUUUUGCUCGUUGCUCCACCAACCCACUCGAAGGUGCCUGUGUCACGGGUCGAGACUCAAGCUCCGAACCCGCGCGGCUCCGGGACCCGGGCAUUCACCCUUCCGACGUCCCAGAUCAGCCUUCCGUCACGGUUCACACCCUUGUGAGGUAUUGUCCGCUCUGGCCCCCCUGGCCUCACGGUUUUGUCCUACAAAAGGCGCCUCACAAGGCGAAGAUGGUGUGAACCCUUUUAUACCCCAGGGACCUUCCUAUUAUGUUCGAUGUGGGAUUCAGGACUCCCCCUUAGGUCCGUGACAUUCUCCCGCACCCAACCUCGUGACGCCCUCGUCACGGAGGCCGGCCACCCUGCUUACCUCCCUCGAGGCGCUCGGCGUGGAUCGAACGGUUUAGGGCUGGCUCUGAUACCAACUGUCACGGGCUCCGACCUUAGACUCAGAAUCCGUGCGGCCUUAGGCUUGGAAUCUCCUCCUUUAUGCCUAAGUCAGCCUAAAACACAAGCGUGCGGGCACUAGAACAAUGGGAAGGGCUGAUUACGCAAGUUAAAGAGAAACAGGACAGAAAAACAGAAUUCUGGAAAUGCUCUUGUAUUCACUGAAACAGAAGUGUUUGAUGGUGUACAAAUGAGGGUGGAGCAGCCCUCUAUUUAUAGUUGGGGCUCCAGCUACAACUUAAUGGCAAAUCCCUAAAAUAAAGGCUACAAUCAUGGGAUUACAUUUAAUCAAGAUGCUGGUUCCUGAUUUUCAGGGUCAACCAAAUCUGCCAGGAUGCUGAUGCUGAUCCUGCCUGGUUCCAGAAGCUUCCCUUGCGUAUCCAGCACCUCGGGCCCUUCUGGAUGUGGUGCGGGCAGCCCAAAUGCCAGGCCUUGGUCUCAUGAGUUGGCCUGCAAGAUGGGCGGGCGUUUGGAGCUCGUUUGAUAGGCUUUGCGCACUGAUACCCGCCAGCACGCCUGGUCUGCGGGCCUCAGCUUCUGGCUCGCCUGCUGGUCUGCCUGAUGUGCCUGGCGCGCCCGCCCAGGGCGUGACACCUGCACAUGGCUUCCACCGAUGGCACCUGCCAGGCUACUUGGCUUGAGGGUGUCCGACCACUGUCCCGAACUUCCCCGCGUAUCUUGCGGCCCGGGGCUCCAUUGCCCCCACAACAUGUUAGCAUCAUGUUCCAAAGCUCGGAAUGCACGCCCACAUCUCGUAGAACCACUUUCCUGCCAGCUCAGUCUCGACUGCUGCUUGGUUCAGGAUCAGUCAUGGCAGGACCAAGGCCUGACCAUGACACUAGACCUGAUAUAGCAUAUGCUGUGAGUGUGGCAAGUCCAUUUAUGCAUAGUCCUAAAGAAGUGCACCUACAGGCUGUUUAUCGUAUAUUGCACUAUUUGAAGGCCAAUCCUAGGAGAGAUAUCUUAUUCAAAAGAAAUUCAGGGUUAGUUCUAGAAGCAUAAACAGAUGCUAAUUAUGCAAGUUCAGUAACUGAUAGAAGAUCCACCUUAGGCUAUCGCACUUUCUUAGGUGGUAAUCUUGUGACUUGGAGGAGUAAAAAACAGAAUGUGGUGGCAAGAUUAAGUGCUGAAGCAAAGUUCAGAGCAAUGGCUUAAGGAAUUUGUGAACUACUAUGGUUAAAGAUUAUCCUAGAAGACUUGAAGAUCAAGUGGGAUGGACCAAUGAGACUCUACUGUGAUAACAAGUCUGCAAUAAGCAUUGCACACAAUCCUGUGCAACAUGAUAGAACAAAACACAUUGAAGUAGAUCGGCAUUUCAUAAAGGAGAAACUAGACAGUGGAUUGAUUUGUACACCUUAUAUAUCAACCAAGGGUUAACUUGCAGAUGUGUUGACUAAAGGUCUCGGUAGUGCAACAUUUCAAGAAAUUAUUUUCAAGUUGGGGAUGGAAAACUGGGAAUGGAAAACACCUAUUCACCAGCUUGAGGGGGAGUGUUGUAAAACACUUAUUUACAGCUGGUUAUAAUCUUGUAAUCUAUAUAUUUAUAUUUGUAUAUCUAGAAUUAAGUAUUUGUAUCCUUAAAAUUAGGAUAAACAAUCCCUCAAUUAUAGGAUUAGUUUUUUAGGAAGAUUUAGUUUCCUAGUUUAAUCCCUAGUUAGUUGUAUAUAAACCUAAAAUUCUUGCAUAAUUCUCAAUAAGCAGUUUUUCAACAUACAUUCAGUUUUCACACUGAUUUAUUUAUUAGUUUUUCCACAGUCUUAAAUCAAAACCAUGUUCUAAUUUUAUUUAGUUUGUGGCAGAAAUGAUUUAAGCGGCAGUUAAUAAAUUUUGCUUUGCUCAAAAUGAGCACAAUCAUAAACUUAACUCAAAAACUGAGCAUUUAUACAGUGCAUGCUGUUAUGGAACUGGUAGAGUUCUAUUUUAACCUUGUAGGAAGCUGUAUAAGAAUUACUCCCGAAUAGGGCUGGUUGCUGAGCUGAGUUGGUCUCUGGCUGAGUUAGAGAUUGAGUUUGUCUCUUUUAAACAACAAAGAGAUUAGUUAAACCUUGGCAUGUCAACUACCAUGGAGAUAUUAUCGUUAAGGGAAAAUUUACAAACAUCCCAUACUGUUCGCUCUUCCUGUUUGAUAUGAAAACAAUUAUCUAUCUUCUUUUGUCUCUCUUUAAUAUGCCUAUAUAGAGGGUGUCGAUAUCAUAUUUACUAUUUGACCAUACUCAAGAGUAACCGUAAUUUGCAUGGUUCAUUUACAAAUUUCUGAUUUUGUUAUUAUUGAAGCAUUAAAAUUUUUCACCACAAUGGAUCAUUGUUCUUUGAGAAGAUGUUUGACAAGUUGUUCCACGUGAGUAUUGUCAUUAGUUAGUGCUCUUUUUGUGAAGUGGUUUCAUAUGCACUUUCCUUGAUCUGUUGUUUAUUGUUCAUGCAGGCUGAUUGGAAACCAGAGUCACCAGAUGAAUUCGGUCCAAUUGCUGAACUUACUAAGUCCAUUGAUUCCAUGAAGGUUGAAGAAACCAAAUCACAAGGUUCUAUUUCUUCUAUGACUAAAACAACUUUGAUUAUCAAAUUCUCACUUGUAGAUGUGUUAACAUUGUUAAUCAUUUUCCAGGACAAGGGUCAACCUCCAAAAAACCUGCAUCUGUGAACCCUCCAGCACAGAAACCUGCUGCUUAUCACCCUCCACAUGCUAAGAAUGCAGCUGCAGUUCAGGCAGAUGUAUUCUCUGACAACUAUGGGGUAUCUUACAAUGAUGAUUUGACCAAAAUGCAACUUAUAAACAAGAAACAGAUAAGAGUUUACUAAGUAGUAAAAAAGACUUAGUUAUGAAAGAUCAAUUUUGGAAGUACACCUCUUUAAUAGACUCUAUCACUGAAGAUCCAGUUGCAAUUAUGGAAGAUGGAAGGGUAUGGAUUUGCAAAAUAUGAAGGAUACUGCAUCUCCUCCUAGCAGACUAUUACUUACAGAGUCAUACUGCAAAGGAAUAAUUUAUGGAUUCUAUAGCACUGUGCCCAUCUGAGUCUUCAUCUCAUUCUAUCUAGCUUAUGAAUGCAUUAUUAAGAUUGCAUUCCUGUAAAUUUAAUUGCUGUAUGUGGCCCUGACUAUCUUAGUGAUUUUGUAAUUCCAGUUGUUCGAGGGAGUACUACAGGGUGAGUUCGCUUAUUAUAAUUUUGUCCUACGUCUAUACAGUUUUGAUUUUUGCACUUUCGGGUGCUCACAAGUAUUCCAUGUUAGAAAUAAGCAAGAAUGCCCUCAGAAACAAGAAGAAGAGGGAGAAACAAAAAGAGAAAAAGGCAGCUGAGGCAGCUAAUGCGGCUGAGGCUACAUGAUAAGUGCAGUUUUACCCUAUAGCAAUGAAAACCAUUUUAACCUGGAUUCCUAGCAGUCACUAGUUUUGAUCUGUAACAUUCAUUUGUUCUGUAUGAUUUUGGCUUUGCUUACCUUUCCUUUAAUUUCUUUUUCCCAUUUUUUUACUAGGAAGGAGAGAACUGGGGAGGGGGUUGAGGGAGUAAAAAUUUUGAGCUGAGCUGAAAUAUAAGUACGUAUAAAAGCUUGUGUUCGUGUAUGCGCAUUUCUAUGUAGCCUGGUGCUUUCUAACCCUUGAUGUUGAUGGCCAGAUUGCGCUGCUGGUGAAAUACUAAAUGGCCACUAACUGCUGUUUACACUUGGGUAAAGCUUUAAGUUUAUGAAGAUUUGGAUGAUAUUUAAGAUUUUUAGCUGUUGUUUAAGUGACGUUGAAGGAAAGUAUUUAUGCUUGCCAAUACCUAGGUGUGGCAAAAAGGGAUAAGUUCCUGAAAUCCUUUGCCCUUCGAGACUAUAUCUCAUAAAUCUCAUCUUGUCCGUUUUAAGAUUGAAACUGAUUAUUUUCUAGAUGAAAUCCUGAACUAAAUCAUGUUUGGGCGUUUCUAAGGAAUUUUUUUUUUUUUUUAAUUUUUACGAAAUCUAGCAUAAUCUUAAAAGAGAAAUACAAAAUUUAAAUUUUAAUUUAAUUAAUUUAUAAAAUCACUUUGAAGAUAGGUUAUUCUUACGAUUCGAUGAGUUAAGUAUUUUAAAAGAACAUUUGAUAUGAUAAAUCUGAUUACGAUGAUGAAUUAUUAUUAUUAUUAUUAUUAUUAUUAUUAUUAUCCGAUAUGCUCUCAAUCUCGUUACACAUGCAGAGAAAGUUAUCAAAACAGUUUCCAAUUCGUGUUUAAUGUUUCAAACAUCAUUCAACCGGUGCAUGACUGACCUGUUUUUUUUACCCGAUUACCUGCAAAGAAGGAAUGCUUUCAUCAAGCUGCCAUCAUGGCUAAAUAGAACAACAAAAGAAACAUCCUGACAAAUUUUUGAACUAGUACCAUUAUGUCUCAAAAUUUCACGUCAGUCGUCCAUGUACCUUGCACACUAGGGUGUUUGGUUACAUGCCUUGUCUUCAAUCUCACCACCUUACUCCCCAAAGCAUUCCUCAGCCUGGUUGCAUGAAAAAGGAUAUCUUAUGGACUCAUAUUCUUCACACAUAUCACCCGCUCGUCUGAAAUACUCAUCCAAGAAAGUGACGUUGUCCACGGUUGAGUUCAGUAACUACCUCCAGCUGAGGAUUUUUCUCUUUGAAUGUUGGUAACUGUGACUCCAUAAAUGCCCUGGCAUAAUAAUACCAAAUAACUUAGCAUCUAUCUGAACAUGCUUCUCAUUAUUAUUAAUUACAAAGCUUGAUCUUGAGACUACCCAAGAAUAUGAGUUUUAAGGAUUAUUAAUUAACAAUGACUGACCUCAAAGUUGAAAGAGUAAAAAUUUCUCAGGUAAUGUUUGGGCAAAUUGGAUUCAUUAGCAAAUAAUUCCAGCAUUAACCAGGUUCAAGCUGAUGGUCAUUCACUUAAAAGUGAAAAGAUAAGUUGAACACGCUUAAACCUCCCUCACUGCAUAGGAACUUUUAAACUCUCAACAUUGACAGAAACAUGCCUAAACCAUCUCAAAAUUGGCAGACAAUUUUAGGGGGUAAAAGAUAUCCAUGUACAUUAAAAUUUAUACAGUGUUAUUUCCACUGAUUUAUUUCAAAACUAAACAAUCAUUCAAACAGUGGGGGCCAGCCGGCCACAGAAGAACCAGGCUAAUUUCACUUGAUCAAAAAAGGCACUCUGCUGAUUAUAUAGCCACAUUCCACUUCAACUUAUUCUUUUGGUCAAUAAAAUGAACAUUACUCUUUAUUAAAGAAAUUUCAAACGUUACAUGUGCAAACACUUGUGCAAGUGUUAGAUUUCUAUUUUCACCUUCUAUUUUCACCUACCAUAAAGAAUCAGUCAUCUCCCGUUACAAGACCAUUAAUAUAGAUAUAAGGCACUGAAAAGAAAAUAAAAAAAGGCAUUCCCGUAUUGUAUCAUGAAGUUCUUAGAAAACUCAUUCAUGUAAUAACAAUUCUUUGACUAGUGAAUGCUGCCUGUUAUCUCACCAUCCUCUCAACAUAUGGUUUCCAAGAAUUUCCCUCUCCAGCAACACCCAGAAGAGCCUCAGUCACAAGACAAAACAAAAGUGUGGGUAAAAGAGCCUCUCUCUAAUUUUUUUUUUGUCCAAGAUACUUUUGUGGAUGAUUAUCUGCAAUCUUCAAGUUUUCACUAUUAUUUCACUAGGAAACAAAGAUGAUUGAUGCAUAUGCAUGCAAUGCUGAUCUUGAGUACCCUAAUGUAAUCCAAAGUGCUAAGCGUUCAUAUGUACUUGUCCAAAUAUUAACGACACUAGCUUGCCUCAAGAAUAAUUAAUUUUUAUAUAGAAACAAGUCUCCAUAACAGAAACAUGGAUGUUAACAAGUAGAAGAGAGAAAGAAACAUACCUGAUUCCCCUACUACUCCCUCCCAAUCACAAUAGCUUACAAUCAGCUUUUUAAGUUGCCAAACUUCUCCUAAUGCCAUCUGCAUUUUCAGGUACAUAAACAAGUCAUCAACUAAUUACUUGCUUAAUCCAUUUUCUCUAGAGAAAAUUGCAGAUAAAACAAAUGAAUUAGCAACUGCAUCAAUUGUAAGUUCAUGUAUCCGUUGUUCAACUAGUCGAGUUCGAAUCUCACUACCACCAGAUUAAGUUUGUUUUUUAAUAAGUUGCUAGCUUAACCAGCGCUUAGGUAGUUAUAGGUUUAGGGUUUAAUUGCAUGUUAAAAGCUUUUUUGUCCGCUCUGGUCCCUCUGGCCUCACGGUUUUGUCCUAUAAAAGGCGCCUCACAAGGGUGUGAACCGUGACAAGAAGGCUGAUCUGAGAUGCCGGAAGGGUGAAUGCCCGGGUCCCGGAGCCGCGCGGGUUCGGAGCUUAAGUCUCGACCCGUGACAAGUGGUAUCAGAGCCAGCCCUAAACCGUUCGAUCCACGCCGAGCACCUCGAGAGAGGUAGGCAGGGUGGCCGGCCUCCGUGACGAGGGCGUCACGAGGUUGGGUGCGGGAGAAUGUCACGGACCCAAGGGAGAGUCCUGAAUCCCACAUCGAACAUAAUAGGAAGGUCACUGGAGUAUAAAAGGGUUCACACCACCUCCGCCUUGUGAGAUGCCUUUUGUAGGACAAAACCGUGAGACCAUGGGGUCAGAACGGACAAUACCUCAAUGACAGAAAAGCUGAUCUGAGACGCCGGAAGGAAAUUCAAAGAAUGAAAGAAAGAUGAAGCAGAGAGUGGAGAAGCUGCUUUACUUUCUGUGUAAGCAAGAACCUCGGUUCGGUCACUAGUAGUAGUAAAGAAACUUACUUUACAGUUGACGACGAAAAAGACCUCAGUCUUGGUUAUCGAGUUAUCUUACCUGACAGGGUCGGCUAGGUGAGUUUUAUUCCAUUCCCGUGCCAAAAGGAAAAGAGCUUGAUAUCCGGGCUUCUAUCGGUGAAGAAAUUAUAUCUUACCGAGAUUGUUCCAUGUUAUGCCUCCCGUGGUACAUACAAUACAGAGAAAGUAACCUUCGCGCUUCAGUUAUCGGUUUGGUUAAGCAAUUAGAUUGCCCUUCCAUGGUUGGCUAUCAAGUGAGAUGCCCAUCUAGGGCUUUAGUCGGCUAUCCUCUUUUUUUUUCUGCCUGCUUCUUUCUAGCGGCAAUGGGUCUUAAGUAAGGAAUUACCAUCCAGUAGCUCUUACCUAUAGGGGACGCGUCUGCCCGGUACAUGCAAAGGAACCUUCUAUCCCAUCGGUUAAUCAAAGAAAUUAGAUGCUCCUACCGAGGUUCACUGAAGUUAUCGGUUAAGGCUUCCCCUCCAUUGGAUCUGUAGGAUAUCGAGUUUUCUUACCGCCUCUAUCGGCUAUGGGAUAUGCAAUUCUCUUCCCUGACCUAACACAGAGCAAAGUAGACUUAUUUCGCGCUAGUGCUAGUACACGAGUAGACCGCUUUCACCUAGCUAUUGCUCACUAACAGAACCUCCACGUACUGGAGAAAAGAACUUUAGCUCUGCUUCGCUCUGCGCUGCUAAAAGUACUUGAUCCCGGAAGCACGAAACUCUUCUAAAAGCGGCAAGAAAAGAAAAGCUUUUCUAACUAAAGGGAGCCGUAGACAUCUCAGAAGCACUUGACUCUGACAUGAGUCUGAUUAUUUCGCAUUACCUUAUUUCCGCACCCGCACUUUAGUUUUUCUUCUGUUCAUUUAUUGGUUAGUCAGUUAUCCCUCACAUCACGGACUGUGAUCAAACUGAACUAUCUCGCUAGCCGUAUGACUGCCCGAGCUGCCAUGCCUUGGUUCUCGGAACACUAUCAUCCUGGAUGCCUGCUCGAAGAGUAGCUCUAUUCUAACAGCAGCCGUUUAUGCGUAGAGUUAGCCGGUUCCGGUAUUGGUAUACUAUUUAAUUAAGUUAAAGAGAACCACUAACCCUCGUGGAUCGAUCUGCUUCCCCUUAAAGUUCAAGAAAGUUGUGUUAGUUGGCGGUGGGACAAUUCCUUCUGCUUAAAGGCCCUAACUCUCUUGUUGAGAUAAGUAGCUGGACCUAGGAAAUAAAUCAUUGUCCUGGCUUUGGGAGCUAAGUCGAAGACGAGCUGACGAGCGUAAAAGGGAUGAGAUCGGUCGACUCCAUUGGAAAUGGGAUUUUAUGAGAAUCAAUAUACUUGGGAUCAGUUCGUCGCUUUGGCCCCGCUGCUGCCUUUCCUUGGACUUUUCCUCAUUCAACUCGGGCUCCUAUCAAGCUCAAGCUUCGCUUAGCCUACUGUGUAGCCUUCUUUCAUUGGUUGUAAGGUAUUCGAUUACUUACAAUGGCAUAUUUUCUUCUUAAAAGGUCCAAUGAGACUUCUUUGGAUUUGCUUUCUUCUUAUUUCUUACUUCUUAGUUCCACCGAUCCGAUCACGAGUCCGCUCCCGUCGAGCCUCUUCGACGACACUAGCCUAGGCCUUCUUCCCACUAGCCAUGACUUGGCCUAACCUUUGGCUCUGAUACCACUUGUCACGGCCCUAAGUCCUUCAAGCCCACAAAGACUUUCAGACAUAGCUCCAAAUGGUCUUCAUUCUAGUUCUUUUGCAACUGAUUAUGAAACAAAUUUCGAAGUAUAGGGAGGCGGCUUUAAAGACGGAAAGGAAUAAAAAAGCUCAAGGUCCUCCUAUCUAGGUCGAGGCUAAUUAUACAAAUGUAUAAGCAAGGCUCGGGAUAUGGAUUUCACCUUAUGGGGAAUAGGCUGAAAGAGCAAGAGGCAACCAAGACUUAUGAAGUGCGUUCAGGCUCACUUUCUUUAUAAAUGGGAACCCUAAUUCGAAAUAUGAAAGAAGUUUGCAAGAGGAGAGUCGGCCAAGGGAUCACAGUCUUCCUUCAGUAAAGGCUGGAUGUAAUUCAGUCUUCGCCCACCUUUCUAUAUGCGAGUAUGCGAUUGUUCGCUCGACCCGCCUGCCCAGUUACGAAAUAGUUAGCUCUUAAAAAGCUAGAAAUGAAAGGAAACUCAGUCUCUGAGUUGCUAGGAAUUCCCAAGCUUUUGCGAAGAAAGAAGCCUACUUGAAAGAGGGAUGCCAAGAGGAGCAAGCCUACAUCGAGCAAGUUGACUCACUUUAUCUUAUGUAAAGAGUUCACUAUUACGUACGACCCCGCGAGCGAAGGUCCGUCAAAUUGGUCUCAAAGAUUAUCAAGGGCUUUGCGCCUCUCUUACCCCUCCUUAUAUCCAAAGAAACUUUCCCAGCUGUAGUAGCUGUUCUCUUCCCUUCCAUCGAUUGAGCUUUCUCUCGCUUAAUUCAAGAGGGCCUUAGUAGACCGCUUUGAAUUCGAUAACUCGAUCGCUUCUUUGCUGGAACUGCCAUCUUUGCUGCUCUCGGCUUCUGAAUUCGUACCUUUCAAUAGCCAGUCUAGAAGCCCUAAUCUUGUAAGGCACGUGACUGCAUUCCUAAAUUCUAUCUCUGCUUCCUUCACUCCUUCCCGAAACUGACCUGUUUACACUGCACUCCUUCUUCCAACAAUACUGUAAGUGGGGCUGCCCUAUAUGGUCAAGCCAAGCAAAAUGGGAGUUUCCUCUUUGUAUCCUCUAGUCUCAAGACUUUCUUUCAUCUUCGAUAGGAGAGAGAAAAAAAUUAGGCAGUACCAGUACCUGAAUAAGGAGCAGUUCUUUCGACAGCUUGGAUUGGAAUCGAGCAUUUCUCAAGGUUAAUCCCCCUCUAUUUGCAUCUCGACAUGAAAAGUCAGAGGGACUGAAAGACUCAUAAGGUUCGUCUGCGGUAUCCCUUCCAUUUUUUUAGUUUAAUAAUAUAUUAAAGAGAAAAGGGAAUCCACGCUAAGAGAGAAAGAUGAAGGAAAGAAAGCACAUAGGGUGGGACCCUGUAAAAUGGAAUUGAGCUUGGCCCUGUCUCGGCCUUAAUAAGCAGUUUGAUCCUCUGCAUGAGGAAGUCACCUCUACAUCUUAGAAUGUCGGUAUCGAAGAAAGAGAGAAAUAUGGGUUAAUAAAAAGUUCCCAAGAAAGAUAGAUUUUUUGAAUCGACAGACAGAUAUGCUUUUUGUUUUGAACUGAGCCUGUUCCCACUCGUAUACCAGCCUUAGGUAAAGAGGCUUUCUUUGGCUUCUGCACUUAAACUUCUUUCUCUUAGGGGAAGCCUAAAGCUAGCUAUCUUUUCCUUGAAAGAGUUCCCGACUUGCCUUCAUGAAGAAAAGUCUUAGCCCGAUGAAUGAAAGCUUUGCCUUGUCUUGGGACGGUAGGCAAGUUUCGGUACUCAGUUCCAGGCCCUUUCUUUUCUAGUAAGGUAGUCCAUCAAGCCCUUCAAGCAAGCGGAUCGUAGAAAAACCACUUCUCUUCUCUGUCCUCCUUCUCAUGGGAACCAGGGAAAGGGGCAGGGGCUCUUGGUCUAGUAGCAGGUCCCACAUCUCUUUCCCCUCCUCCUGCUGCGAUUCCUGUCGCUGCUCUUCCACUCGAGCUCGACUUUUGACUUGCACCCAUACCGGUGGCCUCAGCGGAUUAGCCAUACGAACACUUCCAGGAGCCAUAUUUUCAAUAGUUGGGUUACUGCUACUACUCCCACUACCACUCGUACUACCCUGCUCUUGUACAGGAGGAAACCUUAUUUUCUUACCUCAGGGCUUUUAGAGGUGAGUUUGUUAAACAGUGGAAACAUAUUAGUUCUUUUAUCAUUUAAGAGAAAUUCAAAUGUUAUAUAGAUACGGGAGAAGAUUAAACCUCUCUUGGCGUGAUUUGAAUUAGACCAUCUCUAUCUAGGGAAAGAGUCCCGCCUUCGAUGCUUAAUAAGUACCGAAUCCAAGUCUAAUCCUAACUAAAUUCUAUACAUCAUAAAGACGAAAAAGACCCUUUGCCACUUCCUUUUUUCGUAGCUUAAAAGGCGUCCCUUUCUAUUAUUUGGAUAUGCCCUUCCUUAUUUACGCAAAUAAAGCCGCCGAAGAAUGGGAAUGCUAGACUCUACCAAGUAAAGCAACUCCAACUGCAACUGGCUCGCAAACUAUUCCUGCUUAGGGAUACAACCACAACCUAUGGCAACUCCCAAUGGCUGACUUACUCCAGCAUUGCCUUAACUUGCUUGUUAGCCUUAGGGACUCUAAGCCCUAUAAGUCGAACUCGCUCGCAGGUAGGAAGAAAUGGAACUCCAUGUAAGCUUUCUCCAAUUGGCUCACAAGAAAGAGGAAUGGCACGGGAAAGAGAUGCCACUCUAUUUGUAAGGGCAAGAACUGGUACUGCUACGAAAAUCCUGCUAUACUGGGCUUCCACUUCUGAUAUUCCUUUUUCAACACCGAAGAAAUCCAACACUGGUAAACUCAUAUCUCAAGGGACGGAGGUACCUUAGAUUAGAAGCCCAUACAUAAGUACUGGGACUUAGCUUAGGACUGCAGGAAAUAGGAUAGCCACUAGGCCAGCUACUAAAUACACACGCACUAAACAAUAUAUGGUGAAAGCAUCUUCUCUAGGAGAAAGAAAAGAAAUCCAUAUUUACAGGGCUUACCCCUACUCUUAUGCUUGACUAGAAAUUAUGCUUGCUUAACUUGAAAGUGAAAUUGGAACUUCCAGGCAAAUUCAUUCCUCUUUCACCCUCCUCUCCGCCCGCCUGUUUAGCAAUCCAGCUAUUGAGUGUACUACGAGGGCCAAAGCUGAGCUUUGGUCCACCACCUGGAUAGGGUUCUAGGGAAAGGGAAACAGAAGAGAGCUCUCUAUUGAUGGCUGUAGUCCCUUUUAGAGAAGCCUUCUUCUGCUGCCUUUUUCGGUUAGUUUAGGUCCUGGUCCUGAGUAAGAGCCAGUAAGGUGCUAGCCCGGCCCCUUGGUCUGGGUACAACUAGAGAAUAUUUAUCUGUCUUUCUUUUUGGGACUUUUUCAGCUUAUUGUUCCUUAUCUUUUAGGUAAGUGAAGUGACCAGGGCACGAACGCUCUAACAAGUUAAGGUCUUUCUCAACCAAAGCAUGUUGAUUGCACUUUAUGCAGAUAAAGUGAUCAAAGUGAGGUUUUUCCUUUAGGUGCUGUCUACGAACACCAUCCGCGAACAUCAAAGGCUGCGGUAUCUUAUCGAACCGAUGACCGAAUGGAUUGGCAAAAAGAAAACAUAGACACAUUGAAUUGAUCAAUACCCCUUUGUAUUGAAUGGGGAUCAGGUCAAACGUAGUUAUCUACCAAACAAGCAACGGACUGAGCGCCCUAGCGCGAAACAAGUCCUCUUAUCCGUUCCCAUACCCAUGGGCUACUUCACUCAUACGAAGGCUGGUUAAGAAGGAUAGCUUAAAGGGAUUGCAUUGGGAUAUUCUUUGAGUUUGGAGCCUUCCUUCCUGCCUUUGCUCUCUUGCUAUGAGUUAGAGACAAGCAGAACUAGCUAUUUUUUAGUCGAACUUACAUAGAUAGUGACUGUCAAAAAAAGGGGGAGGGAAGAAGAAAGAUCCCACGAACUGGUUUAGCGUAGCCCAGAAGGGCCUCGUUCUCAAGCGAAAUGGGGGACUUGUUAAGCUGCACAGUUGGCUUUUUGGGUGGGAACAUCGGUUGGGAGCUUUCUGUGGUCUUGGUGCACACUUGCUUUGGGGCAAAGGCAGUCAAGCAGGAAAGAUUGUGGAGAGAAGAUAAUCCGAGAUGUUGUAGGGGAGCCCACGAUGCCAAAAGACUUGAAUAGCCAGAGAGUUCGCACUCAUAGGAAGUGCGAUUCAGCAGAUUCUUUUGAACGCCGCUCAGGGUGAAAGUAAGUGAGACUCAAGGACUAGAGUAGCGUCAUCAGCAGACGAGCAAGGGUUAAGUGCUUGGCUUACGAGCCAGACCUCGAAGGGGCUAUCCUUUAGAAAAAAUGCAAGCUUUAGUUGGGGAAGCGGUUGAAACCUUUGGGAUGUCUUGAAAAAAUGAAAAAUGUAAAUAUGGCACCAAGAAAAUGAGUUCAUUCCUGCGUUUCCCCGCUUCGCUUCCUUGCUUUCACCUCUCUUUUUCAUUCCAUUCCCCUCUCCUCUAACGGAACGGCUAGAAUAGAAGGUAAAGUCCAGCUCUUUCGCCAAUAAAUGCAACGAGAUGCCUUUUUCUUUUGCUUUCCACUUUAAAAAAAGGCCUUCCAAGGCUAGUCAUUCAUCUGAUGACAAUACGACUAGUCGCCGACCUUCUUUCCUUCCCAUCGGAACAAUCGGCUGGCAUUCUGACUUUCCUUCUAAGAAUAUCCUUGUAAUCGGCACGCCUCCUACCAAAAAAAAUUCGGUCAGUGGUCAAUUGGUGCUCACCCAACCAUUUUCUCUCUUUUACUCUCCCCAACAAUCUUUAUUGAGAAACGGGGAAUCACACCUUCCUUUCUCUUCUGCCGCUUUGAUCUCUUGUGCCGUUGCCGGUGUGAAUUACAAUUCCGACGUGACUCAUCUAUCCGCUCUGGGGGGGAAGAUCGAUGAGCAUUCCUGCCAGCAACCAUCGGUCAUCGGACAUUGGCGACUGCUUUCUUAGGAAGCAUAGCAGUUAGUUGGGAAAGUAGGAAUUGAAGAAGAAGGAGGUUAGGUGACUACGCUUCUCUAGUUCCUUCGAAAAAGCAGGUUAGGCCUUGCUUGCCUUGGAAGCAUCGCUUUAAGCCUUUGUGACAGAUAGGAGACUUUAUCCUAUCCCCUUGGAAGCACACCUCCUGUAGUCGGAAAGCUAUCCCUUUAAGUUAAGAAGGGGUAACUGACUUAUAAGCAGGGAGGGAGGAAGUAGCUCGACUGAAAGUUGAGGUAUGAAAUCGCUCAACCAACGGGAGAGGAGAGAAAAGCCUAAAUAAUACGAGCUAGCCCUACCGCGGAAGCACCAAUCAAUGUAAUGUAAACCCUCCUGCCGGGCUAAGCACUGAGUACUCUAUUAACUUCAACUCAACAGUCCAUGAUAAAAUAAAGAUCGAAAUUAAAUACUACGCUUACUACGCUUUUUCUGUACCAAUGAUAGUCGAUUGAAUUGUUUAAUCGGAACACCGUAUAAAGAAUCUAUACUUGGUACACCGUAUAAAGAUAGUCAAUCUAUACUCCGUUCUUGGACAGUUCAACAGAGGAUAGUUCUUUCGUGUUCCUUAAUAACUUAAUAAGGGUUCUCUUUACCUUUUGAGCGGGAGAAAGGUUCGUACCUCCCAACACCACUCCUUCGUGUGCCUCCGUUUGCUUUCUUAGUGCUGACACCUUCGUAUGCCGAUCUUACAAUGAAGCGGCAGAAGAACCUAUUUGACAAUAAUCUAUCAGGAACUUCAGAAAAAAGAUUGGAAAGUAAGGAGGAUUUCGUACUUUUAUAGUCUCUGACCGAACUCCCUACUCUCUUAGGUUUGAUCUUGGAAGCGCCGAUGUUAAUGAUCUCUUCUCUUGUGGCUUGACUGCUAUCCUUUCACCAAAGAAAAUCGUACUUCCACGGGGAAAGGCUAUAAGGCCCUAACUAAGCUUGCUUGGAUUUAGUCUUUAUUCAGUUGAAUGCCGCAGAUCGUCUUCUGGGAUUACUACUAAGAGUCUUCCUUCAAAGAGCCUUUAUCCCGCUAAGCAUCCGAUGUAAACGAAUCGUCUGAAUCAAACAAACAAUUCCUCUUCUCAACAGCAGUCGUUAGGCCUCCCACCAAUAGUUCAGUUCUUUAUUCGUAUAAAAAAGGUUCGGUACAGAUCGUAUGGUAAAUUCAGGAAAGCACGAUCAAGGCUUUGCUUUGACAUAGAAAGGAUAAAAGAAAAAAAUCCCUUCACAACCAGCCUUGCCUUGUUAUCUUGGUUGUGAGCUGUUUUCAUCAAAUUUAAACAUGUAAACCCAUUUGUUUUUUAGUGCCUUUUUGCCUUACUCUAACAAGUAAGACUUCGUUCCUGAAUCAGGAAUUGCGGCGUUUCCGAUGCGAGGGAACGGGAUCGCUGAGUUCUUUAUAUCGAUAGAAUCAGGUCCUUAAAAGAACCCGAACUUUGGUUAUAAUCAAUAAAAAGAAUUGGAUGAUCACGUCUGUCUUUAUAUAGAUUUAUACUAAGGUACCGUGCCCUAAGGCGGAUGCCCCUUGCUUGACCGGAGGGAGAGGAGCACACCCUUGGUCUUGAGCCUCUUGUUUGACUAGUCCAGUAAAGAAUAAAGGAGGUGGUCACAUCGAGUAAAGUAAGUCAAGAUCCAUUCUAUUUGAUAGCAAAUCCUUAUUGGCACACCCAAGGCAGAUGAAUGAACUCAACCUCGAGACCUGAUUCCGACUCUUACUCUUGAUUUCAAGGAUCAGAUAAACAGGGAAUUCUGUAAGAAGCCCCGAAAGAGUGCCAUGACAGCUCAAAAAGAGAUAGAAAGAACAGGCCGGGCAACCCCGCUAGAUAGGCAAGGGCAGCAUCGGUAGCUCGAUCGGCAAGGCUGUGGGUCAUAGGCACAAGCGGUACCAACCCAAUCGGCAAGGCAUAAGAUAGGGGGGCUCCUCACGCACAAUCCACAAGAGGGUCGGUAUCUCUUUUCAUUGAUUGAUGAGUAAGGGCUCGAUAGAAUGCUUGAUCGAUGAGGGAAGGCAACGCCUUAACCAAGUCAUCGCAUUCGUCGCACCAAUCAAAGAAAGAACCCGAUCCGCGGACCUGGAGGAGGUAGAAUUCUGAAUACGGGUACGAAGGGUCAUCCAGAAGCGCUGGAAGGGCUGGAGGAAGGGGACGAACCGCAUCGAUUGAGUUAUAUCCGGCAGGCUAAGACCCACGUACCUAGAAAGGAAGGGGAAAGUCUUACCUUUUGGAAACAUAAGGCGCAUCAGAAAGGAAUCCGCUUAGAUAGCCAGAUUCACGAGCUGAGGACUAAGUCGAAGUGAAAGUAUGUGCCAUUGUUAGUGCCAAGACCCUAGAAUAGUGAACACCAAGUGAAGAGCCACCCUCCGGAACGUCGAGAAGGAGUCCGUACCGUCCGGAGGGAACGAAGGUGACCGAAGGGGUCCGUUUUCGAUAACGUAUUCCAGUUUCAUAUCAUAGUCUUAGGUGGGAGGGGGGGAAGGAGAAGAGUGGAUCGGUAAGUAGAGAGGUGUUCGAGUGUUUGAAGCGGCAGCAGAAGAAUCUUAUCAAAAUGGAUGGACUAGUUAGGUAUAUUCGUAGGAGUCAGCGCACAAAGAUUCUAUACCAGUAGAAUACACAAUGAUUCUCGAGCAACUAUUCUCGUAGAAUACACUACACAAGGAUUCUCUACAAAAAAGAGGAGUUAGCGCUCUAGUAGGGAAGGGAGGACCUCUUGAAUGGCAACAAACGAUUCUGCCAUUCCUGGCUAAGUAUGAAAAGAUGAACUCUUUCAUAAUGGAAGGAGAAGUUCUCCGUGUUUUCCGAAUCCUGUUUUUGGAGGUAUGGCUGAGUGGCUUAAGGCAUUGGUUUGCUAAAUCGACAUACAAGAAUCCUUUCUUUAAAGAUUGGGUUGGUUAACCUUCCUACCCGGCGGGGUUUAGUUUGUUGAAGUCAAUAAGGGCUAAGGUAUCCCGCUCCUAUCACCCGAGCAAUAGACAAUGAAGAAGUGGUUCUUCCCUUUUUCCUAUGAGCUAGCGCUAGAGUCUUAGUAGGACGACUGCUCUUAGAGUAUCGGCCUUUUGUUACAAUAAAUAGGAUUUAGUCGGGUCACAGAAGAGUACGUAUUUCUAUAUGCCCAAAAAAGGCUCUCCCCCCGAGGGGCCUCUCAAUAGAAGUUAAAACGGCAGCAAAAAUAUGCAAUAUCAUUUAGUAAGAGAAAAGUCCGCCCACCUCUGAUCCAAGCUUAGCUCCCAAAGUCGGGAUUUCUUCCUAAACCUAAAGUGAAGACUUAUCCCCGUAUAGACUUUUGGGUAUAAAGUGGGUCACUCUGUCAAGAUUCAAUCUUUCCCCCGAUCUUUCUUUUCUUUGAGUCAGUCCGCCCUAGGGUGCAGCUCUCUUCCCUACUUAUUGUAUAAGAGAGUUGUGCUUCUCUUCCCUGAUUUCUUCCACAGCUUUCUCGAGCCUGCAGGUUGCUGCUAUCCCCCGAAGAGAAUAUACGAAGAGGUUCUUCCUAUUAUGGAAUGCAAGAGCAAAAGCGGAAAUCCCAAUAUUGUAAGAGAAGGCCCAUCUCUUUACUAGAAUCCGAUGUGAUAGAAGGUUAUGAAAUAGCUUAAGCUUAAGUCGAUCCUUACAACAUAGAAUAGCCGAACGAAUUAGCCAUAGAGCUCAUCCCCGGUUAAAUAGUUAUAGUUGAUGAUUUCUUGAUGGUUGACUGCUAUAUCAACAUUAGAGAAUCGACUGGGAACGAAUACUUUUUUCUCUUCUUCAUUUGCGACUGGAAUUUUUGUUACCCAGCUCUCAAGGAAGAAGGAAGCUUCAGAGCUGGAAAGGCGCACAUCUCCAGUAGUACACUUAGCUUACACCUUCUUUAAACUUUCACAUGAAUUUGAAUUUUUACGAAAAAGAAAAAGCGAGAAAAAUAGGGCUUUCUUUUUACCAGUCUCAAUAGUACUCUUUACAGCUCUGUAAGUCCACUAGCAAUACACCAGUACAGUAAGUCAGUACAGCACUAGCAAUAGCAGUACCCAGUACAAUAUGAGUCAGGUCUUAAUCUUUAUUCCAAGAUCCUUAAAAAAAAUGUUAACUAGAAAGUAAAUGAGAUUUCUAAUCAAAUCAAUCUACUUAUCGUAUUUUUUUUUGCCCCUUCAAGUAUUGUUUUGUUGGCCCGAAGUCUCCUUUAUUUUUUGGAUGGGGAUCAGCGCGUAGUUAAGAUAAGGUUUGCCCGGAAAGACUUUCUUGAUAGAACUUUGCCUUGUUGAAAGAAGUAAAGUAAGGCCAGUAGGGACCAUCAGAGGUUCGGGACACCAGUCUAAUUCCUCAUCUCUAAGCAAUUGGUUGUAGUAGGUGAUGAGGUCCUUCUCUAAUUUCAUGAGGAAGUCCGAAUGUUUAUGAGUCAGGGCCCGCUGGAUGCCCUCUAGCCGGGCUAAGGGUCGGCGCUUGUUGUGAGUUUCCGAAAACUGCCUUAUUCCAAUCCUUAAACGCUACUGAGGGUGCAGAAGUGAUAGAAUGGCCACUUUUUCGGAUGGACUUGCUUGAAGAUAUUGUGUAACUGAUCAUUCUAGAUAAGAGAUAUAGGAAGGAGUGAGCACGGCAACCUAGACGGAUGAAGCCGAUUUGACAACAUUUAGUUGAAAACUUCAAGCAUCACUACUUUAUCUUUAUUAACGCUUUUUGGGUGUUGAGUUGAGCUAUCUUUUCUUUCGAAGCGGCAGGAAGAAUCUUUUGAAGAAGCCAGUUUGGCCUUCGCCUUCGAAACCGAGCCAAUUGAAACUAUCACAAUUGGAUUGCUUUUUGCCAACAAUAAGUUGGAGAUUGAACUUAUUCGUUCAUUUCAAGGCAACUUGUCAACAUUGACAUGAUUGAAAUCUCUGCCUUUGUUUUUGUUGCUAUAUCGAGCGGAUUUGCUUACAGUGAUGCCAACCGAAUGCGGGACAGAAUAUAGGAAUUGAUUCAGCCUUCGCUCAUUUUUUCAUAAUAACGUUCGAAUCUCCACUACUUCCUUUUUUCGACUACCACUACCGACCUUUCUUCUCCUCUCUCGCCAUAAGCCCAGGUCUGAGUUAUAGGUAAAGCUCUCAAAGCAAAGUCAAUAAAAAAAGACCGGAGCGGCAUCUUUUUCUUCUAGUAGACCGACUCUGACUAUUGAGAUCUAGCUAGGUUGACUCUUUUCUUUCAGUAUAAGUAAGAUUGCCCUUUCGCCGACUAUUAGACUCUAUUCUCUCCGGGAUUCAUCUCCCGGAACUAGGUGAUUACCCUUCGCUUCUUUAUCUUCUAGGGAAGUUCCCCAAGGAAAAGAAAGACUAGUGCCUUAAUUUAGAUAAAUUACCACGAAAGUUCCCUUCGUAAAGGGUAAGUCAAUUGGCUUGAUAUAACGAAGACAAAGAUUUUGCCUAAACCAAGUCUGAUUUUAUUUAAAUGGUAGGUAAUCCGCUUUCUUUUCAGAGNNNNNNNNNNNNNNNNNNNNNNNNNNNNNNNNNNNNNNNNNNNNNNNNNNNNNNNNNNNNNNNNNNNNNNNNNNNNNNNNNNNNNNNNNNNNNNNNNNNNNNNNNNNNNNNNNNNNNNNNNNNNNNNNNNNNNNNNNNNNNNNNNNNNNNNNNNNNNNNNNNNNNNNNNNNNNNNNNNNNNNNNNNNNNNNNNNNNNNNNNNNNNNNNNNNNNNNNNNNNNNNNNNNNNNNNNNNNNNNNNNNNNNNNNNNNNNNNNNNNNNNNNNNNNNNNNNNNNNNNNNNNNNNNNNNNNNNNNNNNNNNNNNNNNNNNNNNNNNNNNNNNNNNNNNNNNNNNNNNNNNNNNNNNNNNNNNNNNNNNNNNNNNNNNNNNNNNNNNNNNNNNNNNNNNNNNNNNNNNNNNNNNNNNNNNNNNNNNNNNNNNNNNNNNNNNNNNNNNNNNNNNNNNNNNNNNNNNNNNNNNNNNNNNNNNNNNNNNNNNNNNNNNNNNNNNNNNNNNNNNNNNNNNNNNNNNNNNNNNNNNNNNNNNNNNNNNNNNNNNNNNNNNNNNNNNNNNNNNNNNNNNNNNNNNNNNNNNNNNNNNNNNNNNNNNNNNNNNNNNNNNNNNNNNNNNNNNNNNNNNNNNNNNNNNNNNNNNNNNNNNNNNNNNNNNNNNNNNNNNNNNNNNNNNNNNNNNNNNNNNNNNNNNNNNNNNNNNNNNNNNNNNNNNNNNNNNNNNNNNNNNNNNNNNNNNNNNNNNNNNNNNNNNNNNNNNNNNNNNNNNNNNNNNNNNNNNNNNNNNNNNNNNNNNNNNNNNNNNNNNNNNNNNNNNNNNNNNNNNNNNNNNNNNNNNNNNNNNNNNNNNNNNNNNNNNNNNNNNNNNNNNNNNNNNNNNNNNNNNNNNNNNNNNNNNNNNNNNNNNNNNNNNNNNNNNNNNNNNNNNNNNNNNNNNNNNNNNNNNNNNNNNNNNNNNNNNNNNNNNNNNNNNNNNNNNNNNNNNNNNNNNNNNNNNNNNNNNNNNNUCUGAAAAUAAAUUCUCUUGGAAAAGCUCCUCUACUCUCAGCAGAGGCUCCACAAUUUUAAAAUUCACAUCUGAAAAAACUCCUCUCAACAGAGGCUCCACAACUUUAAAAUUUCAUCUGAAAAAAGCUCCUCUCAACAGAGGCUCAAUAACUUUAAAAUCUCAUCUGAAAAAGCUCAUCUCCUCUCAGCAGAGGCUCAAUAACUUUAAAAUCUCAUCUGAAAAAGCUCCUCUCAACAGAGGCUCCACAACUUUAAAAUUCUCAUCUUGGAAAAGCUCCUCUCAGCAGAGGCUCCACAACUUUAAAAUUCUCAUCUUGGAAAAGCUCCUCUCAGAAGAGGCUCUACAACUUUAAAAUUCUCAUCUUGAAAAAGCUUCUCUCAGCAGAGGCUCCAUAACUUUAAAAUUCUCAUCUCGAAAAGCUCCUCUCAUUAGAGGCUCCACAACUUUAAAAUUCUCAUCUUGAAAAAUUUGACGCCGUAAGUCGAAAAAUAAUGAAUCAAUCAAGAUAACAUUGCGAAUCGAUUUUAUGCCCGGAGGUCUUAGAAAUUAUGCCCUGUGGUCUUACAGAAUUAUGCCCGGAAGUCUUAGACAUCAUGCCUGGAGGUCUUAUAGAAUCAUUCGAAAGUCUUAAAAAUCAUGCCCGGAGGUCUUACAGAAUCAUCCAAAAAGUCUUUAAAAUCAUGCCCAGAGGUCUUACAGAAUUACUUGAAGGUCUUAAAAAUCAUGCCCGGAGGUCUUACAGAAUUAUCUGAAGGUCUUACAAAUCAUGCCCGGAGGUCUUACAGAAUUAUCUGAAGGUCUUACAGAAUUAUGCCCGGAGGUCUUAGAAGUCAUACCUGAAGGUCUUACAGAAUCAUCCAAAAGUUUUAAAAAUCAUGCCCGGAGGUCUUAGAGAAUCAUCCAAAAAUCUUAAAAAUCAUGCCCGGAGGUCUUACAGAAUCAUCUAAAAGUUUUAAAAAUCAUGCUCGGAGGUCUUAAAAGUCAUGCCCGGAGGUCUUAUACAGAAUCAUGCCCGGAGGUCUUAUAGAAUUAUCUGAAAGUCUUAAAAAUCAUGCUUGGAGGUCUUACAAAAUCAUCCAAAAAGUCUUAAAAAUCAUGCCCGGAAGUCUUACAGAAUCAUCCAAAAAUUUUAAAAAUCAUGCCCGGAGGUCUUAUAAAUCAUGCUCGGAGGUCUUACAGAAUCAUAAAAUCUUUGAAUGCUCCUCAUAAUCAGAGGCAAUGAAACUUUAAAAUUUUAAAAAUCUUUUAACACAUGGCUUUCGCUUGAUCAGAGAUCUUUAAGACUUUAAAGGUCUUUUUUUUUUCUUUUGAAAAAAGUUCCCUCUGAACAGAGGCUUUGAAAUCUUGAUUGAAAUUGAUUCUUUUUAAACAGAGGCUUUCAAAUCUUGAUUGAGAAUGGUUCUUCUGAAAUAGAGACUUUAAAACUUCAAAAAAAAUGCCUCCCUUUUUUCGAAGUUGAUAAAUGUAAACAUGAUAUAAAUAUCUAUUCUCAUCAAAUGCAGCUGAUGCAAAUGUUAAUGCCAACGUAAGAAUGCAAAUGCUUGAUACAUUUGACUUUUUCACAAUGCAAAUGACAAUGUCUUUUUCAUGUAGAUGCCCCUACAAAUACCUUUUCUUAAGAUGCAGAUGCCAUGAUACAAAUGCAAAUUCUUCUUAUGACGUGAAUGCAAAUGUCUUAUACAAGUGAUGCAAAUACGAAUGUCUUUCUUGUGAUGUAGAUACCAUGAUGCAAAUGCAAAAACUCUUAUUGCCCCACUUUUUUUUUGUGAAAAAUUUUUGUUUUUGUCUUUUUUUUUAUUUUUAAAAUUUGUUUAAAUUUUUAUUGUUUUUCUUUCACCCAAAAAAUGAUCUCAGUAUUAUGUGUAAAAUGCUCCAAUAAUCUUGAAAAUUUUCAAAAAUGAUCAACAAUUGGCCCACAUAAAGUAUCUUUGCAAUUGAAUGAAAAAAUUAAAAACUUAAGACUUUUGAAUCUCUUGAAAAUUGAUGAUUACUCUUUGGAAAGCUUAUGGAUGGGAGGGUAAAUUGACACUUCAACUCUUUUUACUGGUUGGCAUAUCUCAUGGAAAGCUUGACGAAGGUUGCAAGGAUUUCUUUUGGGUUCCCAAAAGAGAUAAAAAUUUUUUUAAAACACUUUUUUUUAUUGAAAACGUGAUACUCCAAUGUGAGUCGAAACUAGUCAUUACUCUUCAAACAAGAUUUGAGAAGAAGGUAAGGCUUUUUUUUUAGAAAGGUCUUUAAUGGGUACUAGUCUUUCAAAGGGUUUUGUAUCGAAACUUUUUAUUUCGGAUAGAACCUUAAAACUCUGAAAUUCAUUUUGGGGCAUUAAAAAAUGACUUUAGCUCUAAACUGCCUUUUUGGGGUUUUCACCUUAGAGCUAUUUUUUUUUUUAUCAAUGAAGGAUUCAACAAGUAUAUACAAAUUCAGGGAUAUUGCUCUUCAAUCUAAGUAUCCAUAUUUGAUCAAAAUGGGCUUUUCAAGGUAUGUAAUGUAGGCUAAGGUUAAGGGUUCUGAAAAAAUAGAUAAAUAGGCUCAAAUAUAUUAUUCAGGGUGAUUAGGCCAAGGAUCCUGAUGAGCACUCUCUGACUUUCUUCUUUUGCCCCCCCCUUUUUUUUGAAACAUUUGGCUCUAGCAACUUUACUCACCCCCCCUUUUUUUUUUACCUUGAAUUUUCAUUUUCAAGGUAUAUAUAUUUUUUCUCUUUUUUUUAUUUUUUUUUCGAAUUCUAAGUGAAGCUUCAGAUUCUUAUCUCUAAGGUUUCUUUGUUUUGCCUUAGAAAUACUUAACUUUAUCUUUGGCUGUUUACUUUCUUGAAUCUUGAAAUUUCAAUCGAAGCCUUGUUCACUUUUUACCCCAGACUUUCACCUCCGAAGGGCAUGUUAGAUGCUUCCAAUAUCGGAUACUUUCUUUGAAGUUAAUCUUGAAUGUAUCCUAAUUUUUCUCCCUAAUGUAGAAAAUGAUCCUUGGCUAGGGUUUAUUUUGGAACAAAAAAUUUAAUAGGCUCAAAUGGGUAACAAAUGGAUAAUUUUUAUGUACGAGAAGGAUAGAGAAAGAUGGACAUUCAUAAUUUCAAACAUGAUCACUUGGGUAGAAGAGCAAAUCAUUGAAUAUGUCCAUUUUAUUUUUUUCUUCUUUUUUUAUUUUUAUUUAUUUUUUUUAUUUUUUUUAUUUUUUUUCUUUUCAUUUUUUAUGCCCCAUCCUUUUUUACUCAAGGUUCUAAUGAUGAUUAAGUCGUAUAGGAUUGAUCGUAUAGCUCAAAAAGGCUCUUUGGGCUCUAAAUUUUUUGGCAUUUUCUUGGUGAAAAGAAAAAAAAAAGGUAUAAAGGUAUGAAAUAAAUUGUCUUAGGCAGAAAGGGAUUUUUUUUUUCAAUGUGCCUUAAGACAUGGAACAAAGGUUAUUUAAGAAAAAGGCUCAAGUGUUUUUGUAUCUAUGGUCAUAGCAAAAUUUUAACACACAUUGGACUAUCGAUUGAAAAUUUUGAAAGAAUAUCUGAUUUUUUAAAUUCAAAACAAACUUUUAAAAUUAAUCUCUUUUGUUCUUUGCCCAGGAAAAGAUUUUCGGUCUUUUAAGGUCUGAAUUCAAACUCACAUUCCCUAAAAGGUUAUGGUUGAUGAGUCCAAUCAUUUAAGUGAUUAAGGACAUGAAAGUAUUUGAAAAGGUGUGGAGGUAUUUGAUGAGCUUUUUCCUAAUAGUAAUCACCAUUUCCUUUAAGAAUUCUUCCAUCUUUAUUACAGAAUAAAACUUUUUUUUCCUUUUUUUUCUCUUUUUUUUUAAAAAUUAUUUAUGUGGGACUUUUAUCCAAACAAAUGCAUAAAGAGAAAAUUUUAUGGAAAAAAAAAUCCAAAGUAUUCAAUUCUUCCAAUAAUAAGUUAAAUAACUCCUAGAGACACAAUGCACAUGUCCUACAUACAUAGUAGAAAAAGAAAUCAUCCUAUCCUGAUUUUCACAACUUGACACCUCCCAUUUCAUCUCAACUUCUCACAUUUGACAAUUGAAUGGAGUCAACAACUUCCAUCGUUCUAUUACCUCCGGAGUCAGAAUACCAUUCUUGAUAAGAUCUUCAACAUUUUCUUCCAACUGCCUGCAUUUUUCAGUUGAGUGGCCAAUUGCCCCCAUAUGGUAAUCACACUUAUCAUUGGGAUUGUAACUCCUUGUUGAUGGAUUUGGUGUUAUUUUUAGAGGCACAAGAGUGAGAUAUCGACCUUCUAUUAGCAAAGGUAAAAGGUGAGAAACAGGGAUGGGUAAUUUUUCUUGAUCAUUCCUUAGUCUCUUUCAAUUUUUUGCUGAUCGGGUGGUGGAUUCAAAUGUGGGAACAAGAUCAUGAAUGACCACUUGAGGAUGAGAGUUUGCUGGAAAGCUCAAAUGCUGGCUUGAUUGGCAAAGAUAUGGGUUUUGAGAGAUAUGGCUUAUGGCAAGGUGAUAGGGUUGAUAAGCAAGAUAAGGAUUGUACGGGAUAAAGCUAUUAGGUAGAUGCCCCUCCAGUGUGACUGCUUGCACCUCUUCUUUAUUAUGUUCUGAUGUACUUUCUUUUUCAAUAUCUGUCGCAUCUUUUAACUUAAUCCUGUCACUCUUAAUUGCAUUUUCUAUAAUGUCACCAGAAAUUAUCAUGUCCGAAAAAUUUUUAGAGAGAUUCUCAAUCAUUCUUUCAUAAUAAGGAGUGUCCAAAGAAUUGACAAACAGAACAGUAAUUUUUUUCUCUGAUAAAGGUGAUUGUACUUGAGCUGCUAUGUCUCUCCAUCUAUGUGUAUAUUCUUUGAAUGUUUCAGUUGAUCUUUUUUUCAUGUUCUGCAAGGACAACCUAUCUGGCAUCAUAUAUUCAACAUGCUUGUAUUGUGCUAGAAAGGCCCUAGCUAAUUCAUUCCAAGAGCAAAUCUUACUUCGGUCUAACUGAGCAUACCAUCUUGCUGCAGCUCCAAUGAGACUAUCUUGAAAGUAAUGGAUCAAUAAUUUAUCAUCAUGAGUGUAGCCUAUCAUCUUUCGACAGUACAUGGUAAUGUGUAUUAAAGGGCAUUUUGUUCCAUCGUACUUCUCAAAACUUGAGGCUUUGAAUUUUGAUGGAAUAACAAGAUCAGGUACUAGACUAAGUUCACUGACACCAAUAUUCUCGUACACAUCAUGGCUUUCAAUUGCUUUCAGUCUCCCUUCCAACAGAUCAUACUUACCUUUCAUCACUAUAUCUUCUGAUGGAUCUGGUACCUUUUUCAAUUUUUUUAAUUCUUUAUGAUCAUCCACAUUGGGCACAGUAGUGAAGUCGUGAGGAGUAUGCCCAAGAUUAACAUUUGUCUGAACUGAUGGUAACUUAGCAAAAUGGCCAACAUAAGGUUGAUCAGUUGUUAGAGGUGCUUGUGACAUAUGGGGAUCUUAAACAUAUGUGAACCCAGAUGGAUACAAUGGUGUCUUGAUAGCUGUUUCCUUCCUUGUCCUAUGCGUCUCAGCAACUUCUUUUUCUUUUAUCAAUUCCACUAUCAUCUGUUUUAAUUCUGUCAGUUGUCUAUUCACGUUUUGUUGCAUUCUCGUAACUGUUUCACCGAUCUUUCCUUGGGCCUUUUCUACUUUGUCCAUUUGACUAACACCUUCAUUUUCCAUGAUUAUGGUACUGGCUCGAGUGCUAUAAGUGUGCAGACUCAACUGACCUUGUUUCCUAUAAUAGCUAUCCUUGAACCUUUUAUUAAUUACCAGAAGUCAGAAAUGCAUGGCAUGAAUUCUAUUAUAUAUAUAUAUAUAUAAAAUUUGCUUCGAAGGUUAUGACAAGUAUAUUUACAAUUAUCAUUCCUCAUCCUUAGCUGGCAUGAAAAAUAAUGAAUUCAAGCAAAUGAUGCAUGAUAUGCAAGUCAAAUUUUAUUACUUUGGUGAGGGGAAACUUGAAUUCCAUCCUAUGUUCAAAAUGGGUCAUCUAGAUAUAUCCUUUCUGUCUCAAAAGUUUGGUGAAAACAUACUUGUAACCAUCAUUCUUUUUUCCACUUUUUUUUAGGCACGCCAAUAGAAUAAACAGAUGCAUCAAUUCAUAAAAAAUCUAGGUUAAAAGAAGUUUUCAUUCAUUUUUAAAAGCAUCAAGUUUACACAUCAUGAACCAUUCUAGGACUAGAGCCAAAAAGUGCUAAACAUGCUCCAACUUCCCUUUGUCUUUCCUAAAAAAUAGUUGACUAUGAUUACUAGGGAGGAUAACUCUUUGCUUAAAAAGCUUUUUAUUCAUCAUUCUGACCAACUUUACUGUUAUCUGCAGCACUGCCUACCAUUUCGACAUGGAUCAAAGAAGGGUUCUUAUGAAUAACUGGCUUCAUUUUGGUAUCAAAACUCAGAUAUCUGGCUUUUAUCAAUCCUUGCACCCUAUGUUUCAAAGCUGUGCAAUCUUUCAGAGAAUGACCCACAACACCAAAAUGGUAUUCACAUUGGGCAUUAGGGUUAUACCAUUUAGGAAAAGGUGGUUUACAAGGUUCAGCAGGGAUAGGGGCAAUGAGGUAGUUUUCUAAGAGCAGUGAGUAUAACUCUGUGUAGGACAUGGGUAUUGGAUCAAUAGGGGCUUUUCCUUUAGUGUUACCAGAGUUUUUCUGUCCUAUGGUUGGUUUAUUUUACUGAAAAGGUGCUAGUAUAGUUGGUCUCGAGGUGAAUUGAGAAACUUUGGAUCGAAGAUUGGGUUCAAAAAGUAGUGACGGGAUAGCAUGCUGACCAGAUGAUUGUGAAACAUGAGAUGGUGGAUAUGGGUUCAGGUGUGAAAUUCUUGGUGGUUGCAUGAAAAUUAGGGGUCUAAUUCUAGGUGCUUGGAAAUGAGGUUGAAAAUGGUCAUAAGGAGGAUUUAGGUAUGGGUUAGGACUAGAGAUAGAUGGUUGUUUGAAGCUAGGUGACUCCUUAUUGGAAAUCAAACUCUUGAGCUCAGUUAUUUGCGUGGCUAGUUCACCCAUUCUUCUCUUAAGUUCGCCCAAACUUCGAUCACUGUUCAAAUCACCUAAUGCUUUAGCAUACUCUGGCAGAGUGUUGGAACUAAUGGGAGCUAAUUGACCUUGACUUGAUGGUAAUGACAAUGGUCUUUGAGGAGGAACAAACUCAACUCCAUCACUUCCUCUAAUCAUUUCUAUCAAUUGAGCCAUCUGUUGUUUCAUCUCUCGAAGCUCAAGCCAUAAUUCCUCUUGAUUCAACUCCAAAGCACUAAUCCUUGCUUUCAAUUGAUCUUCCAUUUUCGUCACUCUGAACCCCACCAAGACAGACAUUUUAUUCCAGAACUUAGACAAAAAAUUCUAGACUAUUACCCUUAUUGAAUGAAUAUCACAAAAAACAAAGACACACAAAGUAUGUUUAUGAAUACAUGAAUAUGAGAAUGUCAUGAAAUGCAUAUAUACUUAUGACAAUGAAUGUUUAUAUGUACAAAGACCCAAAUAAAAAUUUUCGUCAACCAUGAAUGCAUAUGCAAAGAAUGCAAUGUUAUGUUGCAAGAAUGGUGGGAUAUGAAAUGCAAUGUAUGUUCCAUACGACCUUAUGAAUCUAUAUGCAUGAAAUGCAAUGACAUAUUUACAUGAAUGAUGAGAUGUAUUCCUAUGACCAAUGCUUAUAUGGAAUGCAUGAACUUACCAAGUGCAUGUUAUAUUUUUACAUGGGAUGUAAUGCUUGUAUUAUGCCAACCUAGUGAAACUGACACUACUUUUUAUGAUGUAUAUGGGAUGGGAUACAUGUAUUAUUUUUUAUAAUGUAUGAAAUGCAUGAAAAUUGAUUUUUUUUAUUGGGCCAAUAAACAAAGAAUCUAAAAAAAAUUAAUCUUUAGAAAUGUUCUUUUGCCCUUUUUUUUUAUUGACCUAAAAUAAAUACCACAUAUUCAAAUAUAACACACACAAAGAAAGAAAAAAAAUUAAUAAAAUAAAAUGACUCAAGAAUUCAAAACAAACAAGUAAGAGAAAUAACCAUCUGACAAAAUAAUAUAACGUAUAAUGUCCUAAUUUUUGGUAAUUUUUUGAAAGACAGCAUGGCUUUAUCCUAAGCAGGUUUCUUAUGGCUCACGAUAUGCUUGGUUUGGAUUGACAGGGUCUAAAGGUUCCCAAAUUGUUUCUCACUAUCAUCCAUAUUGGACUAGUAAGGCACCCCGAUCCCUCACCCAUUACAGGCUACGAACGGAAAGGGUUCAAUCUGAGUGGAAGUGUUUCGCUAGCAAAUGCGGAGGUUAUCACCUCACGAGAGCGUAACUACUUUACUUCCUCCUAAAAGGAUGGAGCCCGGUUAUAGAGCUCAUGUAUGCAAGUGAAUAUGCAAAGUGUGUGCAAGGUAAUGUAUUAAUCAAAAUAACAUGAAUAAAUCAAAAACAAAAUCAAAAUGAAGUAAUAAUUAGCACAUAAUUUAUUUCAUUUAUUCACAUGACUGUUUUCAAAAAAUAAAAAAUAAAAAAAAUUAAACUAAAUAUCAAAUAAAAUCAAUUAAAUCCAACCAUUUUCAAUAGCGCAUAAUUAAAAUUUUGGCCUGACUCUCAAAAUUCCCCAGUGGAGUCGCCAAGCUGUCAUAACGGUUUUGGAACCGCCAGACGUAAAAGAUGAUAUUUUAAAAAUUGAGAAAAAUAAAUAAAGAGGAGUCGCCACCAAUCUUUGUUAGGGUGUGAUUGGCCACCCAAAAGUUUAUCUUUUUAAUAAAGCUAUAAAAACGGGUUUAAAGUUUAUCAAAAAGAUCAAUUUUGGUCUACGAAAAACCAGAUUGGGUCCGGGAGUCGAUUACGCAUGGGGAAGGAUUAGCACCCCCACAACGCCCAUAAAUUGGUACCAUUCAAUUACGCGCUAUUUUCGAUGUUGGAUAAAAAUGAUUUUAAUUUGAAAUUUAACUCUAAUUCCCUUCAUUAAAAAAAUAUUUUUUUGCUAAAAUUUUUAUUUAAGAAUAUUGAGAAAAUCUUUAAGUUAAAGAAUUAUCUUGAAAUUCUCUAACAUCUAGGCAGAAUUUGAAAUAACGCUUUUCACUUAAGAUUUAACACAACAAUCCUUAAAAUAAAAUAACACUCUUUAUGAAAAAUUGUUGGUGACUCUCCAACAUCUAGGUAGAGUACCAUGAGUAAAUUAAAGAGAGAAUAAUGCAGACAAUUAUUAAUGAUAAUACGAUAACGUAUGUAUGCUAAUGAAUGUCCUUUAUAAUGAAAUGCAAUUUAAGAGUUGGAUUCUUAAAUAUAAUGAGACCACCCCGACUCUCCAACAUCUAGGCAGAGCUUAGGUGCGACUGUUUAUAUUUAAGAUCCUAAUUUUAUUUUUAUUUUUUUAUUUAUUAAUCUUAUUAUUAAUAUGAAUUACGAACUCGUGUGAAAAGACUUAACGAAGUAAAAUUUUCUAAAUACCCCAUCAUCUAGGCAGCAUUCGGGAACAAAUUGCUCCAAAUAAAAUUUUCACACGUGUCCUUAGGAUUUUUUUUAGGACUUUGGAUUUUAAGGAUUUUGGAUUUCGGGGGGUUUUGGAUUUAAUGGAUUAGGAAAUAGUGCUUAAGGUUUCGAACAUCUCUAAAAAUCCCCAACAUCUAGGCGAAUUUUUUAAGCAAGUUCGAUUUUAAUAAUUUUUGAAGAUUAAUUAAAAAUUUCUUAUGUUUAUUUAUGAAAAAUAAUUAACAAUAAUUUCCCAACAUCUAGGCGGAAUUAUUGUUUUAAAAAAAUAUUUUUAUUCCCUCCAACAUCUAGGCAGGGAAGAUUAUUAUUAUUAUUUUUAAAGCAUUUUAUUAUAUAUUUUUUUUUAUUAUUUGUUCUUAAUUUUAUUAUUAUUAAAACGAUUAAACAUUUAUUCUAACAAAUUUAUAAAUUUAUCAUGCAUAAAUAUAAAAAAUAUAUUUAAAAUAACAAAAAAUAAUAAUAAAAAAAAUUAGAAAAUUCAAAAAAAAAAAUUUACCUGAACCAGACCGGUCAACGGUCCGAUCAACGCUGGUCCGGGCGGUCUGACCGGUUCGACGGUUGGAUCAGCGGUUCGAUUCGGUCUGGUUGGUUCGGUGGUUCAGUACCGGUUCGGUUUUAUCUGGGCAGUUCGGUUCGGUCUAGUCAGACCGGGCAGAGCGGAUGAAAGAAGCGGGUCGCGGGUCUGGCGCGCGGACUCGGGUCGGGUCGCGGGUUGACGCGCGGACUCGGGUCGGGUCGCGGGUUGACGCGCGGAUAUUCGGGCUUAAAACGACGUCGUUUUGGGCCUUUAAUGAAACGACAUCGUUUUGAUUUUGGCAGUUUAUAUAAAAGGCUCAAUUUUUUUUUGGUCAGUUUUUUAUUUUCCAGAAAAAAAACUUUUUUUUUCUUCUUCUUCAGCAGAUCGCCGGUCAACCGUUGGUGCCGCCGCCGUCCGUCGUCACCGCCGAUCUUCGGCUGCCGUUUUCGGUGGUCGAAAAAUUUCAAAAUUCUCCCACAAGCUCUUCUCGACCCCUUGAGCGCAGAUCUGACCUCCUUUUCACCAAAAGGAGUCUCAAAAUUCCUAGAUUUGUCUUCAAAGUUUCGGCCAAAAAAUAUUUUUUUUCUGCGUUCUUUCUCUUUUUUUUUUUGAAGCUGACAUUUCUUUCUCUUCUUCGUGCAGGAAGCUUGGCGCUGAGGUUCCUCGCCGUAAGCGAGGACUGUGUAUUUUUUAUUUUGUUUCUGUUUUGGUUUUUUUUUGUGGCAGUUCUGUUUGUGGUUGUUUUCGGUUGGUUUUUGUGUUUGGGUAUUUUGGGUGUUUGGGUGGGUGGAUCGAAAUUUUUCGUUCCUGAACUCUCAAGCUGGAAAAAUUUUUUGUUUCAGAAUUCUCACUUGAAAAAUUUUUUCAUUUUUCUUCUCCCUCUUCUUGUUAGAGUUUUUGUGUUGAUUUUAAAGAGUUUCAAUUAAGUGGGAUUUGGCUGGCUGUAGGGUGGUUAGUUGGUAGCUGUAGGGUGGCUGGCAGGAGGCUGGUCGGGGGGUUUGGUUGGGUUAGUCAGGGAGUUGGUUGAAUGGCUGACAGGGAGUUGGUCACGGAGUUAGUUGGGGCAGUUCGGCGCCGUACCAACUCCUUGACUUCUGUCUGAUUUCCAUUUUGUUUUUUUGUUUGUUUUGUUUUUUCUUUUUUGUUUUGUUUUGUUAAAUAUUAUUAUUAGAAAUCAAACGGUAGACCCGGACAAAAUCGGUGUCUACAUAAAGAAAAAAUUCAAAGAAGAUUUUUAGAAUAAUUAAAAGCCAAAUGGGUCCACUAGAAGAUGAAGAUUUUUUAAGGAGAAUCGAAAGACUUAAAAGGGCAGGACUAUUAGAAGUGGCUUUUAAAGAUGGAAAGAAUUGAACCAAAAGUUGAAUUAACUUAGAUAAAAAUGCAUGAUAUAAUUCAUUGGUUGCAUCUUUAUCCUUUCAAUCAUCACAAUUAUUACAUGCAUCGCAUACCUCCUGGUAAGUUGCAUAAAAGAUUUCUUUAUGAAACAUCAGGAAGAAGUCCUCUUUUUCAAAACAAAUAUGAUGGCCUUGAAGGUAAUAUGUUACCUCCAAGAUAAUUCUUAAAACCAAACUAUCGGUUUAUGGAGUACCCAAUCCCCUAUUUCUCAAAUCAUAGCUCAGUUAUGGUUACUUUUAUUUCCUUGACUUGCGAUUCAGUCCCGAUCGUCGUUAAUAUUUGACUUGUGAUUUAAUCUCGAUCAUUCUUAAAGCUUCUUGACUUACGAUUUAAUCCUAGUCAUUUUUAUUUUUUUGACUUACGGUUCAGUCCCGGUCAUCGUUAAUCUUUGACUCGUGGUUAAUCCCGAUCAUUCUUAUAGCUUCUCGACCUAUGAUUUAAUCAUAGUCACUUUUAUUUCUUUGACUUGAUGUUCAGUCCCGGUCGUCGUUAGUCUUUAACUUGUGGUUUAAUCUCGAUCAUUCUUAUAGCUUUUUGACUUACGAUUUAAUCCUAGUCAUUUUUAUUUCUCUGACUUACGGUUCAGUCCUGAUCAUUUUUAUAGUUUUCAAAUUAUAGUUUAAUCCUAGUCUCCUUAUUUUCUAAUUUACGAUCUAAUCCCAAUCUCUUUAUAUUCUGACUCGCUGUUCAAUCUUGAUUUUUUUAAUCCAAAAUCGUAGUUUAAUCUCAAUUGUUGUCUUUAUUUUUGACUCGUGGUUUAAUCUCGGUUAAUCUCGAUUGUUGUUAUUUUUUGACUCGUGGUUUAAUCUCGGUCUCUUUAUUUUCUGACUUAUGAUUCAAUCCAAAUUGACGUUAUUCUAACUCGUGGUUCAAUCUCAAUUUUUUAAUCCAAAAUCGUAGGUUAAUCUCAAUUGUUGCUAUUUUCUGACUUGUGGUUUAAUCUCGGUCUCUUUAUUUUAUGACUUGUGAUUCAAUCUAAGUUGAUGCUAUUCUGACUCGUGGUUUAAUCCCGAUUUCUUUAAUCCAAAAUUGUAGUUAAUCUCGAUUGUUGUUAUUUUUUUACUCGUGAUUUAAUCCCGAUUAAUCUUGAUUAUUGUUAUUUUCUAGCUCGUGAUUUAAUCUCGGUCUCUUUAUUUUUUGACUUGUGAUUCAAUCCAAGUUGACAUUAUUCUGACUCGUGAUUCAAUCUUGAUUUCUUUAAUCCAAAAUCACAGUUUAAUCUCAAUUGUUGUUAUUUUUUGACUCGUGGUUUAAUCACGGUUAAUCUCGAUUGUUGUUAUUUUUUGACUCAUGGUUUAAUCUUGGUCUCUUUAUUUUCUGACUUAUGAUUCAAUCCAAGUUGACGUUAUUCUAACUCGCGGUUCAAUCUCGAUUUCUUUAAUCCAAAAUCGUAGUUUAAUCUCGAUUAUUAUUUUUUUUUGACUCGUGGUUUAAUCUCGAUCUCUUUAUAUUUUGACUUGUGAUUCAAUCUAAGUGCAAUCAUGAUCUUGUUAUUCCUUUACUUGUGGUGUUGCCCCAAUCAUUUUCUUUAUUAUCCGACUUGUGAUGUUGCCUUAAUUGAUUCCUUAUUUUUCAACUCACGAUGCCAUCUUGGUCAUUUUCUUUAUCAUUCAAAUUGUGGUUAAAAAUUCAUCAAAACAAAAAAAAACAAAAGAAAAACUUUUGAAAAAUCCACGGUUUGAUUCUGGACAAAAUCGUUAUCUUUGUCUUUGCCAUAUUCCUGAUUCUCAGUAAUGUGCAAAGAUAGGCAGCUGUAGACACCGAUUUUAUCCGGUAUAUUUAUAUAUAUAACAAUAAUGAUUUUAAUAAUAAUAAAAUUUGUUUAAUUAAAAUUAAAAAUCAAUUAAUUAUUAAAAAAAUAGAACAAAACAGAAAAAAGAAAAAUCGAGGAUGGCAGUGGUGCCUUCUCCGACACCACUGCCACCAGGCCUUACACCCCACCCUUCUGAUCACCAUACCCUACCCUCCACCCCUCUGAUCACCCAUCCCGCUGAUAGCCACUACCCUCACUGUCAAAUAAGACAUAAACAAAUAAUAAGGAAUGGGGCUUGUGCUUACACCCCAUACCGAGCCCUGUGCCCUUCCCUCAAACACACGCAUGGUCGGAGCUCUAUAAAUAGAACUCCUAGCCAAACCAAAAAAUACACAAAGAGAGGGACACUGCAAAAAAAAAUAUUUCAAAAAUAAUAAUAAAUAAAAAACACAAUCCUCCCCGUAGGGAGGAACCUCAGUGCUGAAGCUUCCUGCAAGAACAAAAAAAAUUAGAUCAGUCUUCGUUUUACAAAAAAAAAAAGGGAAACAAAAAACUUCAAACCUCGAUCUACACCAAUCGAUGCUGUUUCUGGCGAAAUGGGUGGUAGAUCUGAGCUCAGGAGGUUGAACGAAACCUUCUAAUAAAAUUUAAAAUUUUUCGAUCACUGGCAAACACCGCCAAUGGUGACCCAGUAGUGGCUGGCCCGACGGUUGGCGAUUGGACGGCAAGAGAGCUCUGAAGCUCUCCCCAGGGCUCUCCCUUUUUUUUCUUCCUAAAAACAAAAAAAUAAUGAACAAAAAAAAUGUCAGUUAUAUAUAAAGGCCUAAAGGCCAAAAUGACGUCGUAUUGGGCAAGAAAAGAUUCGCGCGUGGACCCGAACUCGACUCGAGGUCUGCUCAACCGACCCGCCAACCCAGUUCCUCAGCAACCCUAAAUCGUUUGAUCAGACCAGACCGAACCGCUCCCCAAACAGGCCUGAACUACGCCUCAACCAGCUUAACCGAACCGCGCGUCGAAUCGAACCUUUUUGGUCCAAACGAACCGUCGUUGACCAGUCCGGUUCAGGUAAAAAUUUUUUUUUUUGAAUUUUCUAAUUUUUUUAUAUAUUAUUUUUUUUAUUUUAAGUAUUUUUUAUAUAUUUAUGCAUAAUAAGGUUUAAAUUUGUUAGGAUAAAUUUUUUAAUUGUUUUAAUAAUAACAAAAAUAAAAAUAAGUAGGAUAAUGAUUAAAAUAUAUAUAUAUUAAAAAUGCUUAAUAAUAAUAAUAAUAAUAAUAAUAAUAAUAUAAUUAUUUUUUUUUCUGCCUAGAUGUUGGAGGGAAUAAAAAAAUAUUUUUCUAAAGAAAUAAUUCCACCUAGACGUUGGGGAGUUAUUAUUAAUAAAUUUUUAUAAAAAGAAAUAUAUAAGAAUUUUUUAAUUAAUUUUUAAAAAUCAUUAAAAUCAAACUUGCUCCGAAAAUUCACCUAGAUGUUAAAAAUUUUUAAAGAUGUUCAUAUUUUUUUAAAAAUGAAACCUUAAACACUAACCCUAAAAAUUCAAAAUCCCUUAAAUCCAAACCCCAUAAAAUCCGAAACUCCUAAAAUUCAAAACCUUAAAUCAAAACUCUAAACCUUCCAUAUCCUAAAAUUCAAGCCUUAAAAUCCUCUAAAUCUUAAAACCAAACUUUCAAAAUCUCUACUCAAACCCUUACUCAAAACCUUUUGAAAAUCCUAAGGAUACGUGUGAGAAUCCCAUUUGAAAUUAUUUGUUUUCGAAUGCUGUCUAGAUGAUGGGGUAUUUAAGAAACUUUAUUUCGUCAAGUUUUUCAUACGAAUUCUUAAUAUGCUUUAAUAAUAAGAUUAACUACAAAAGUAUAAUAAUGAAAUAGGAUCUUAAAUAUAAACAGUCAUACCUAAGCUCUGUCUAGAUGUUAGAGAGUCGGGGUGGUCUCAUUAUAUUUAAGAAUCCUACUCUAAAUUUAUAUUUCAUCACUUUGCAUACAUACAUUAUCAUGUUAUUUGUAUUGUAUUUCUCUGUCUUUAAUUUUCAUUUGUUGCCUACAAUACCAUCAUUUAUUUUCUCAUAUAAAAUUUUUCAAAAUAUAUAUUUUUGAUAUUAUAAAAUAAAACAAAAAUAACAUUUCGAAAGAAAUAAUUUUUGGUACUUUGCCUAGAUGUUGGAAAGUUACUAAUAAUCAUUUCUUGCAAAGAGUGUUAUUUUUAUUUUAAGAUAAUAUUAUAUUAAAUCUCAAGUGAAAAAGUCAUCUUAAGUUUUGCCUAGAUGUUGGAGAAUUUUAAGAUAAUUUUUUAACUUAAAAUUUUUUUUAAUAUUCCUGAAAAAUGAAUUUUAACCAAAUUUUAUUUUUUUAAGUGAAGGAAUUAGUGUUAAAUUUCAAAUUGAAACUAUUUUAUCCAACAUCGAAAAUAACGCAUGAUUAAAUGGUAUCAAUUUAUGGAUAUAGUAGGGGUGCUAAUCUUUCCCUACACGUAACCGACUCCCGAAUUCAAUCUAAUUUUCGUAGAUCAACAUUUGUCUUUUUGAUAAACUUUAAACUCGCUUUUAUAAUUUUAUUAAAAAGAUAAACUUUUGAGUAGUCAAUCACACCCUAAAAUAAAUUAGUGACAACUCCUUUUUUAUUUCUUUCGAUUUUAAAAUUCAUUACGUCUGACGAUCUCAAAAUCAUUAUAACACUUAGGCAUCUUAAAUUAAUAAACCAAAUCUCCGAAUAUAUGCUAUAAACACGUACUAUUAUCUUUGGCAAUUUACAAAACAUUGCUUUCUUUUCUUUCAUGUUUUCCUUUUCAGUUCCUAUCAUAGUAGUUUUGAACAAAUUCCAAAUUAUUGCUAUCACUUUGGUCCUGGAUGCACCUACAAAUAAGGACAAUAGGCAUAAAAUUAUUGCUAUUUGCUAUUUUAUCAAAAUCUAUUUACUUUAUAGGAAAUAAAUUUUUAAAAAUUAUUUUUUAAUAAUAAAAUUUCUGAACUUGUUAGGAGGAAAAUUAAAACACUAUUUUUAUCCUUAAUUUUAAGUUAAAAUUCAAAAUAAUUGUUGUAAGAGACAAUAAAUAAAUUACAAAACAACACGUGUAUAUUAUGAUUAAGUCACCACCAUAAGAUUUUCUGUGGAUGUGGGUCUAAUGUUUUUUUUUUCUUCUUUUUCAUAAUUACGUUGUUACUUAGGGAAGGAAUUCAAAAGCGCUUUGAUGAAAGACUGGCAGGCAAGCAAACCACUUUAUUUUUUAUACUUGAUGAUCAUGUGGUUUGAGCAGCGGACGAAAUUUUCUAACGCCUUAUUUCUAUUUAACUUGUAUUUUACUAUUAAUAAUAUUCUUACUUAAUUAUCUUGAAUUAAUUUUUGAUAACCUUAUUAUUGUUCUUUCAUUUAAUUUACGGUUAAAUUAAAUUUACUGAAAGCUAGGUGAAUUUUCUCAACCAUCACUCCAUAAAAAAACAAAUCUUUGAGAUAAUUGAAGUAAUUAAUUGAAAUAAAACUUUUCAAUAAUUUAAUUUUGUCUUUCUCUGCACUUGAAUACUUUUUCUGUUUCAAUUUUUUUUUGUUCCUUUUUCUUAAAUAUCCUCAAAUUCUAUUUUAUUUUUUAUAUUUUUAUUUUUUUUAUUUUUUUAUAUUAAAAAUUAUGAAAUUUUAAUUUUAUAAAAAAAUUUUAAAUUUUAAUAUUAAAUAUAUCAAAAUUAAAGUUUCUUUUAAAAUUUCAUAAAAAUUAAUACUAUUCAAUUAGUUUCAAACGAGUAGAGAACUUUUUUUCUAUUUUUACUAUGGGUAGGUUAGGUCUACUCGUUAAAUCAAACUGUUUUUUUUUAAUUUUACAGGUGAGUGGUCUAAAUCGAAACGUACAAUGAUGAAAAACAGCCCAGAAUUUAAAUAUAUAGUACAAUAAAAUAAAAAUUAAUUGUUUCCAAUCCCCACAAAUUUAAUAGUACUAUGCUAAUAUGUAAGAUAUCAGCCUCAGCACUUUCAGCAUCUUGUCUUGCAUGAAAACCCAAGGAAGACUUGGGGGGGGGGGGGCAAGGAGCUCGUUUAUGCGAGGUUAAUGCUCUCUUCAAUUAUGAAGAUAACCUUGGCAGCUUGUUGCACUUUAUGACUUUUGCGGAGGGGACCAGAACCUACCGACAAAAGUCGGAAUCACAGUACUUAUAAUUUUCUUGGCAUGCUGCUUUCAAAAACGAAGAUAAAGUAAUUCAAAUAAGACUUUUCAACAAUUUAUUUGGCCUUUUUCGACACUUUAUUUUUUUGUUUUACUUUUAUAAGUGAAAGGUCUAAAUCGAAACGUACAACAAUGAAAGACAGCCUGAAAAUCGAUAUAUAGUACAAUGAAAAUAAAAAAAUAAAUUAUUCUCCAAUCCCAAAAAUCUAAUGGUAAUACUAACUAUGGUGAUAUGUAACUAUGUUUUCAGCCAGGCAAUGCUUGGAAUUUUUCUUUUUUUAAAUGAAUGUUGUGUUUUAUUCGUUCAAUCGGCAGGAAUCAUACAAUUAGAAAGAUAAAUUCGUACUACUUUAUUAAAUAAUUUAUCAGAGUUUUCUUUCAAUUAGUUAUACCAUUACUUGAUCUUAUCUUCAAUUAUGUUGAAAUUUGUGAGAUCAAUUAUUUAUUCUAAGAAUAGAUUAAAUUUUAUUUUAAUUGUAAAAAUAUGUUUAUUUAACAUUGGAUUCUAUAUCUGUUAAAAAAAUUGGAUUCUGUAAAUUAAACAGAAAUAAAAUUAUAUAUUCUUAUUAGUUUUUAUAUGUAUUUUAAAUUUUUAUAAAAUAAAAUUAAUUUUUUUAUAUUUAAAUUUAUUUAAAAUUAUGUGAAAAUAAUAAAAAAUAUUUAAUUUAAAAAAAUAAUAAAUUAAACGAAUAAAAUUUAAUUCGAAUCAAUUUAAUUUCUUUAAAAGAUUUAUUCAAAUUCAAUUCAAAUUUUUAAAACUUAUAAUAUUAUGCAUUUAAUGAAAUAAUCUAAUUCAAUUCAAUUGAUUAUCAUCUCAACUUCUCUCCAUGCUCAUACUUUAUUCUUUUAUGUUAACAGUAAAAUAUUUACUCUUCAUUCAUUCAAGAGUAUUUUUUCUUUCUUUUUUAAAGAACAAUCAUCCUGUUUUUGUGGGUAAUUACUCGAUUCAUUCGACUACAAUCUUAUUGAUUUUUCUUUUUGAGGAAACAUAGGCAUUUUAAAUUAAUAAACCAAACCUCCGAAUAUAUGCUAUACAUAUACAUGUACAAUUAUUAUCUUUGGCAAUUUACAAAACAUUGCUUUCUUUUCCACUUACUAUCAUAGUAGUUCUGAACAAAUUCCAAAUUAUUGCUGUCACUUUGGUCUUGGAUGCACCAUCAAAUAAGGACAAUGGACAUAAAAUUAUUGCUAUUUGCUAUUUUGUCAAAAUCUAUUUACUUUAUAGGAAAUAAAAUUUUAAAAUUAUUUUUUAAUAAUAAAAUUCUGAAAUUGUUAAGAGGUAAAUUAAAACACUAUUUUUAUCCUUGAUUUUAAGUUAAAAUUCAAAAUAAUUGUUGUAAGAGACAAUAAAUAAAUUACAAAACAACACAUGUAUAUUAUGAUUAAGUCACUAUCAUAAGAUUUUCGGUGGAUGUGGGUCAAAUGGUUUUUUUUUUUCCUUCUUUUUCAUAAUUACGUUUUUACCUAGGAAAGGAAUUCAAAAGCGCUUUAAUGACAGACAAACCACUCUAUUUUUCAUACUUGAUGAUCAUGUGUUUUGAGCAGCGGACGAAAUUUUCUAACGCCUUGCUUCUAUUUAACAUGUAUUUUACUAUUAAUAAUAUUCUUAUGUAAUUACCUUGAAUUAAUUUUUGACAACCUUAUUAUUGUUCAAUUUUUAAUAACCUUAUUAUUGUUCUUUCAUUUAAUUUCCAGUUAAAUUAAAUUUCCUGAAAGUUAGGUGAAUUUUUUCAACCAUCACUUCAUAAAAAAACAAAUCUUUGAGAUAAUUGAAGUAAUUACUUGAAAUAAAACUUUUCAACAAUUUAAUUUUGUCUUUCCCUGCACUUGAAUACUUUUUCUGUUUCAAUUUUUUUGUUCGUUUUUUUUUAAUAUCCUCAAAUUAUAUUUUAUUUAUUUUGAAUAUUUAAAAUUUUUAUUUUUUAUGUUUUAUAAUUAUAUUUUAAAAUUUUUUAAUUUUUUAUAUUAAAAUUUAUGAAAUUUUAAUUUUAUAAAAAAAUUUUAAAUUUAAUAUUAAAUACAUCAAAAAUAAAGUUCCUUUUAAAAUUUCAUAAAAAUUAAUGCUAUUCAAAUAAUUUCAAACGAAUAGAGUACUUUUUUUUUUUUAAUUUUUACUAUGAGUAGGUCUAAUCUUUAAAUCAAACUUUUUUGUUUUCUUUUUUAAUUUUAUAGGUGAGUGGUCUAAAUCAAAACGUACAAUGAUGAAAGACAGCCCAGAAAUCAAAUAUAUAGUACAAUGAAAUAAAAAUUAAUUGUUUUCCAAUCCCCACAAAUUUAAUAGUACUAUGCUACUAUGAAAGAUAUCAGCCUGAGCACUUUCAGCAGGCAAAACCCAAGGAAGAGUUAGUGGGGCAAGUAGCUCGUUCAUGCGAGGUUAAUGCUCUCUUCAAUUAUGAAGAUAGCCUUGGCAGCUUGUUUCACUUUAUGACUUUUUGCGGAGGAGACCACAACCUACCGACAAGUCGGAUUCACAGUAUUUAUAAUUUUCUUGGCAUGCUGCUUUCAAAAUUGAACAUAAAGUAAAUUCAAAUAGGACUUUUCAACAAUUUAAUUUGGCCUUUUUCGACACUUUAUUUUUUUGUUUUACUUUUAUAAGUGAAUGGUCUAAAUCGAAACGUACAACAAUGAAAGACAGCCUGAAAAUCGAUUAUAUAGUACAAUGAAAAUAAAAAAAUAAAUUAUUCUCCAAUCCCAAAAAUCUAAUGGUAAUAAUACUAAGCUGAUAUGUAACUAUAUGUUUUCAGCCUAGUAAAGGCAAUGCUUGGAAUUUUCUUUUUAAAUAAAUGUUGUGUUUUAUUCGUUCAAUAGGCAGGAAUCAUACAAUUAGAAAGAUAAAUUCGUACUACCUUAUUAAACAAUUUAUCAAAGUUUUCUUUCAAUUAUUUAUGCCAUUACCUGAUCUUAUCUUCAAUUAUGUUGAAAUUUGUGAGAUCAAUUAUUUAUUCCAAGAAUAGAUUAAAAUUUAUUUUAAUUGUAAAAAUAUAUUUAUUUAACAUUGGAUUCUAUAUCUGUUAAUAAAAUUGGAUUCUAUAAUUUGGCCAAAAAAAUUUGAUUCUGUAAAUGACGGUCUUAAAAUAAAAAUCAACUAAAAAACUAAUUACAUGGUAAAUAAAAAAUCUAAAUUUAAGAUCAAACAGAAUCAAGGAGAAAUCCAAUAAGUAAAUCUAGUAAAACACAUUGAAAUAUUGUCAUUUCUGUUAAAAUUUUGUACUUUUAAUUUUAAUUUGUUGAUUUUUUAACAUAAAAUAAUUAUAUCGAUGAAAAUCAUCAUUUCCAUUAACAAAGCAAUAUUUCAUAAAAUACUUCAAUGCCAUUACUCUGCUAAAAAAAUCAAUGAAAUUGAAAAUAUAUGGAAAAAGUUUAUUAUUUGCGUCAAUAAAAUAUUUUUUAAACUAUUUUAGUUCCGUUAUUUUUUAUUAAAAAAUCAACAAAAUAAAAAGUGAAUUGGUAAAACUCAAUAAAAUUGAAGUAUAAUGAAAAAAUAUUUUAAAGCUAUCAAUCUUAGCAUUCAUCUCUUGCUUUGAAAUUUUAAAGCAUAUUAACUUUUCCUUAUUUUACAAUGAAAUAUUGGAAGUUAAGUGAAUUUUCUGUUACUAGAUUUACCUUUAGGAUAAUAGACAAAAAAAAAAUUAUAUGAUGUCAUUAUACGAAACAACUUUUUUUAAUAUGUGAAAUUAAAAAUAAUUUACAUGUCAAUCACAAUUUAAUAAAAAGAUAAAAAGUAUAAUUAAAUCAGUUAAUUUUUGAGAUAAUUGAAUUAAUUGGAAUAGAUUUUUCAAAAAUUUCAAUAAUAUUAAAAGAUAUAAAAAAUUUAUACACUAUAAUCAAAAAAAUUAAGUUUUUAUUUUUUUUAUAACUAUCCAAUAUUUAUUUGUAUUUAAUUAAAAUUUUAUUUCGAUAAAAAAAAAUUAACAACGAUAAUUUUUUUAGCAAUUAAAAUAAAAUUUCAUACGACAAUAAUAAAAUAAUGAAAUUUAUCAUGUUAAGUAAUUAAUAUAUGUAAAAAUUAAAUCAAAUAAACUUUUUUAUUUUUUAUUUUCUCUCUUUUUUUUAAGAUCUUUAUAAAAAUUCAAUUAACAAUAAUUUGGAAAUUAAUUCAUUUAAUUGUGUUACGUUAUUUAAUUUUAUUUAAUUAAAAAUUAAAUUAAAUUAAAUUAAAAAUUAAAAAUUUGAUUGAUUAUAAUAAAAUAUUAAAAAUUUUAAAUAAUUAUUAAAUUAUAAUUCAAAACAUCUGUUAUCUUUAGCCUUUUAAUCCCUACACUUGAUUAAUUUUUCAUUUUUGCUGUGUCUAAUCUUUAAAUCAAACCUUUUUUCUUUUAUGUUUUUCCUAUCACUUCAAUAGGUGAGCGGGAUUUAAAUUAAAUUAAAUUAAAUUAAAAAUUUGAUUGAUUAUAAUAAAAUAUUAAAAAUUUUAAAUAAUUAUUAAAUUAUAAUUCAAAACAUCUGUUAUCUUUAGCCUUUUAAUCGCUACACUUGAUUAAUUUUUCAUUUUUGCUGUGUCGAAUCUUUAAAUCAAACCUUUUUUCUUUUAUGUUUUUCCUAUCACUUCAAUAGGUGAGUGGUCUAAAUCCCACCACCCUUGAAAGGCAGGUUGAACAACCACUCCUUCACCAAGACCAAGUAGUGCAAUGAAAUAAAAAUUAAUUAUUUUCCAAUCCCGACAAAUCUUCCAAUUAAAUUGUCACAAUUUUUUGUGGUUAAAUUUUUAAACUUUGAUCUUUUAUUAUUUUUUAUUUAUGACUAAAGAAAAUACAAAAAAUUAUUUUUGAAAAUUUGAAUCAAGUAAUUUCUUAAUAUAUAUUUUAUAAAAUUUAAUUGAUUAAAAUAUUUAAAAUAAUAACAAUCAAAAUUAAAAAAAUUUUGAUUAAAAAUCAAUUAUAACAAUUUAAUUAAGACAGGAAAACUUCAAUAUUAAUAUUUUCGUUUAUUCUAUCAUAUGUUUUACGUUUUUAAGUUUGAAUACGUGUUAAUAUGAAUUGAUUUCUUUAAAAAUCUAGUGUAAUUUAUGCGGCGUGAUUAAUUAUUGUAUUUGAUAAGAAUUUAAGAUUCUUAAAAUGUAAUCAUUACUUUAUAGAUCAUGUGAAUCUCAUUUAAAAUAAUGAGGAAGUUUUACAAUCGAUAAAAGAUGGUCUUUAAAAUCAUUUAAAGACAAUUAUUUUCAUAGUGGUGGGUGUAUAUGAAGUUACGAUUCUGUCCCAAAUUUUGUUUUUAUAAGAAAACUUUCAUUUUUGAAUCAUUUCAAGACAAUUUGUUGAUUUUAACUUUUAAUAUAAACAGGAUCGCAGCAAGAUCACCAUCAUCAUCAACACAUACUACUUAAAAUGAAUCCAUAUCAUUAUAUAGGUAAGGGACCGAGGAACUGAUUUAUUGGAGUGGGGUCUUUCUCUUUUCCCUACCAUGACCCCUUGCUGUCGGUGAGGGUGCUGGACCACACAGCAUACGGUAGAAACAAAACAAAGGCCUGAAGUUGAACUCUUAAAUAGAGGGUAAAUGCUGUGACUGUAGCACUUUUUUUAUUAUUUUUUAUUUUUAAAAGUUUUUAUUGUUGUUCUAUCUUUUUACAGUAUCUGUCAAACUAUUAGAUCAUGAAAUAAGCACAACACAAGGAAAGUGUUUUGGGCUGGGCCGGGGGGAGGGGGAGGAGUAGGGAUAUUAAUGGGAUAUUUGGUUCGGAAAAAUUUAUAUAUAUUUUUUAAAUUUUAUCAUUAGGUGUUUAAUUUUAAUAUUUAGUUUAAAAUAAUUUUAUUUCGAAGAAAAGUGAUAGAUUUUUAAUAAAACUUAAAGUCUCGAAAUAAAAAAUUUAUUUUUUUGUGAUAUUUUAAGAUUUUGAGAGAGAAAAUUAUAUUAUUUUUAAAUUUAACAUGAAUAAAAAAUUAUGAAAUAAUUGUUACUAUUUUAAAAAGUAUGUCUGAAGUUGACUGUAAAUCAAUCUUAGAUUUUUGCUGCUAAAAAAUAUUUUUAUAUUGUAAUUAAUAGUGUUUGGCAUGAAAAAUGUCUUAAAUAAUAUUGUUCAAUUUUUUUUAGAAUAAUCCUAAAAAAAAUUAAAUAUGAUUAUUUAAUAUGUUUUUUGACCAAAAAUCUAUUAAGAAAAUGACUUAAAUAAUCAUCUAAAAAAAAUAGAUUAGUCUUAAAUAAUCCCUUAAAAAAUAUAUCAUUAAUGAGAUAUUUGGUUCGAAAAAAUUUAUAUAUAUAUUUUCAAAUUUAUUAUUAGGUAUUUGAUUUUAAUGUUUGGUUUAAAAUAAUCUUAUUUCAAAGGAAAGUGAUAGAUUUUUAAUAGAACCUAAAGUCUCGGAAUAAAAAUUUUACCUUCUUGUGAUAUUUUAAGAUUAUGAGGGAGAAAAUUACAUUAUUUUCAAAUUUAACAUGAAUAAAAAAUUAUGAAAUAAUUGUUACUAUUUUGAAAAGUAUGUCUGAAGUUGAUUGUAAAUCAAUUUAGAUUUUUGCUGCUAAAAAAUAUUUUUAUAUUGUAAUUAAUAGCGUUUUGCAUGAAAAACAUCUUAACUAAUCUUGUUCAAUUUUUUUUAGAAUGAUCCUAAAAAAAUUGAAUAGGAUUAUUUAAGAUGUUUUCUGACAAAAAAUUCAUUAAGAAAAUGCCUUAAAUAAUCUUUUUAAAAAAUAGAUUAGCCUUAAAUAAUCUCUUAAAAAAUAUAUCAGCAUUAUUUAAGAAAAUCUCUUAAAUAAUCCUAAAAAAUAAUCCUAGAAACGUCUUAAAUUAUCCUAAAAAAUAAUUGCUAAAAGAAAAAGUCAAACUUACGACUUUAUGAUUAAUAACCAUAUGUUUUAACUAACUGAAUUACUUUAAUUUUUUUAUAUUUUAUCUCUUAAAUCUUAUAAGUAAUAAAAGAGAUUAUUUUAAAAGUUUUUAGUAAAAAACACCUUAAAUACAUGCAGUCCAAAAUUUUGAAGAGUAUUAUUUAAGGCGUUUAUGACAAAAACAUUAAAGCUCUAGAAAAGAGAGGUUGAACUUACAACCUCAUGGUUAAUAAUCAUAUACUCUAACUGACUAAGUUACUUUAAUUUUUUUAUAUUUUAUCUCUUAAAAAAUUAAAAAUUAUUACAAAAAAUGUCUUAAAUAAUAUCUUUUAAAAAAUUGAAGAAUAUUAUUGAAAGCAUUUUUUAUUAAAAAAAAGUCUUAAAUAAUCAUUUUUAAAAAAAUAUUAAAUAUUUUUAAAGAUAUUUUUUAAUAAAAAAUACCUUAAAUAAUCAUUUCAUAUUUUUUUAAUAGCAUUUAUUUAAGACACUUUUGGACAAAAAAGUCUUAAAUAAUUCUUUUUAAAAAAUUUAUUUAAGACUUUUUUCAACCAAAAAUAUUUUAAAUAAUCCUAAAUAUUUUUUUAUUGAUGAUAUUUUAUAAAUAAAAAUAGCAAUAAAAAUAUUUGUUUUCUUUUAUUGUUAAAGGUAUCAUUUAUCAUUUAGGUAUUUAUUAUUAAUAAAAACUAAUAAAAAGUUACCAUCAUAUAUAUUAAAAAAGUUAUGAUAAUUAUUCAAAAAUUAAUAUAUGUAGAUUUUUCAUCAAUCAAAUGAAUAAAUCUAAUCAAAUGAAUAAAUCUGAAUAACGGAUACCCUGAAAAUAAAAAAAAACAUCGGGUAUUGCACUUUGUUUAAGAUCACACUUUCUCAUGAAAUUCAAAAUUCCAUGAACUAAAUGACUCCUAAAGGUAAAUAAUGUGUUUUUUUUUUCAGUUUUAUUUUUUUAUUUUUUUAUAUAUUUAAUAAAUAAAUUUUAAAUUUCAUUUUUCUUAUUGAUUCGCUUGAUAUAAAAAAUAUAACAUCUGUCAAAUAAUUUAAUUCUUUUUUUGCUUUCAUUUUUUUAUUUUCUUUCUAUUUAUAAUUUUUUUGUUUUUAUUUCAUAAAUAUUUUUAAAUAUCUUAAAUUUUUUAUGGCGGAUCCAUUUGAUAUUGUUAUUAAAAAUAUAUUUUUAAUAACAUUUUUAUUUGAUAAUUUUUAAAAUAAUAAUAUUAUAGGUGUCAACCUCACAUCUCAUUUUUUUAUCCUUUCUUUUUUAAUAUUUUCCUUAUUUCUUUGCAAAUCCAUAAAAUUUUCAAAAAUAAAAUAAUUGUUACUGAUGUUAUGUGUCAAGUGAUUUUUUUUAAAAAUAUUUGUCUUCAUUUCUUUUUUUAUUUAAUAGAUAUUUUUAUUUUUAUUUUUGUAAUUAAAAAAGUCAAUUUUAUCUUAAUAAUUAAAAAUAUUUUUUAUACUUUUUUAAAUAAAAAAAUGGUUUAAAAUAUAUAUUAAUGGAGAAGUAAACAUUCCAUCUAAAUUUGAUUUUUUUGAGCUUUUUAAUAUCUAUGAUAUAAAAAAAUGAUGUUUUUAAUCAAUAGUAUUAAAUUAGUUUUUAAAAAAAUUACAAUACAAAUAAAAAUAUAUAAUAGAUAAAAGAAAAAGAAAAAAAAUAAAUAAAAAUAAAAAUAAAAAUAUAUGAUAUAAAUUUUGUAAAAAAAACUAAUGAGGCACGACAACUCAAAAUUUUUUUAUUUUAAUUUAAAAAGACGUAUAUGUGCAGGUGACCUUUUUUUAAUAAAUUUUUUAAAUUAAAUAAUUGACAAUAAACAUAAUUAAUGAAUUAAUUUUCAAAGAAAAAUUUUAAUAAAUAUAUGAAUAAAAAAGACUCGUGUCCCAUAAGUUUCCAUUCUUUUAAAUUUAAUAGUUGUUUUUUUUUGUUUAAUUUAGAAUAAAUUGAGAUUUUUUCAAAAAAAAAAAAAAAAGUCAAUCGAAGACCUUUUCAUACUCUUGCUUUGUCAUCUCGCUAACCACAAGAAUCUUUCUCCGUUGGGAUGCCGCGCGUUCCUCUUGUAAUCGGAACCGUCAAGAGAGGGGAAAAAACUAUCUGAUCAUUUGCUGGUUGCUAAGAUCAGAUGGAGGUAUGUUCGUGAAAAUCCCUUCAAUUCUGUUCGUUCUUUCAUGUAAAUGAACUUUAUUCUCUGUUUGGCGUUAUGUUUACUGUUUCCAAUAGUGUUUUUUUUCUUCAAGUUGUCCUGAUCUUCUGGUUGCAGAUCUGUUAUUUUGUUAGCUUCACCUCAAAUUUGUACCACUAAAAGAAACUCUCUAACUAUUGAUUGCUAAGAUCGGAAGCAGAUGCAUUCGAAAUUUCUUUGAAAAUCUUUCCGUAUUCUCAGUCUAGGUUUUCUCAUGAAGUUUCAAUUUAGCAAAUAAUAAUAAUAAAAAGAACACCUUUUAUUUUCUUUUUCUUUUUAUGUUUAGAGAUUUAAUGAAUUUUGUACUACAUACACACUCGUAUCUCAUGAAUCUCACAUCACUUACUUCCGAAAUUUGAAUUUAGGAUCUUCAAAUUAGAGUGUCAGGUUUUACCCAUAAAAGCUAGAGACGUUUAAAUUCUCUUGGUUAUUUCUUAUUGUUGGCACUUAGUUGCUGCAGUUACGUUGGUUAUCAUGGUUGUUUGCUUGUUUGCUUUGAUCACGUCCUGUUGUUAUUUUCUUGUGUAUGCAGAUAAAUCAUUUGGUUUAUUAUAGGACAAAUGAAUUCAGAAAAUAAAAAUUAGUAUUUGUUUUAGAGUGUGAAAAUUUACUGAGGGAUGUUUUAUUGAUUAUGCCUUCGUAUUAAUUUGAUAGAUUAUAUAUAUAUAUAUACCUAUGUACUUUCCUAACAGUAAAUUUACUGAAAAAAGAAGUUACAAAAUAAAAAAAAAGGAAGAAUACUGCCCCAUAAGCAUUCUUAUGCAAAUGAAGAAGUUCAACCACAAAUCAUUGAACAAAGCCUAUGGGUGAGGAACAUGAGUUGCGUUAAGGUGUUCAUUCUUUCAAUUCGAUUAAUUUUGAAUUGAAUCACUUUAAAUCAAAUUAAUUGAAUUAUAUUAUUUUAUUUUUAUUAAUCGAAUUAAAUUUAUUAAUUUCGAAAUUUAGUUAACUCAAUUUAAUUUGAUCCGUUCAGUUAAUUUUUUCAGUUAACCGAAAAAAUACAUUUAAGUUCAUUAUAUUUUAAAUUCUUAAAUUUUCAUAUUUGAAACCAAUUAAAUAAAAUCAUUUAAUAAAAUAUUUAAAUAUCAAAAUAUUAAGCUAAAAACUUUAACAACUUAUAAAAUGAAAUGGACUAUUUAAUGUAUUUUUAUUUUGAUAUUUAGAUUCAAAUUGAAUUAACAAAAAAUUGAAAUUUCGUUAUGUAGAAAGCUUAAAGAACAAUUGUCCUCAUUUUUUCUUAUUCUUUUUAGAAUGAAGGAGUACAUCAAAUAAAUAGGAGCAGUGAAGUUCUUUAUUAGGAAACAACUUACAUGAAACAGAAAAAAAAUAAUAAUAAAAGGAAGGAGAUACAAAUCCCUAAAAAUUUGACAAUUAGAAUAAUUAACUAAAUCAUAAGAAUAAAUGAGAAAUAUUUCCAAAAUAAAUUACGAAAUCAAGUUGCACUAAUGUAGGAGAAUUAGAUUUUUACACUUCUGCUGAAGUUGGCUUAUGAACGUUAAUUUGGAUUUCAAUAUGUCAAAGAUGCUUCUAGGAAGAGCAUUAAUCAAAAUAUCUUUAAUUUGGGAACUUGUAGGGAUAUAGGCCAGUUUGAGCGAUCCAUUUUCUAUCUUUUCCUAAUGUCGAUCCAACUUUAUGUGCUUGGUCCUAUCAUGAUAAACAAGAUUUUUGGCAAUACUUAUAGUAACCUUAUUGUCACAAAACAAUGUCAUAGAUGUCACCGUCUUAACUUUUAAUUCUC
rnacentral:lncRNA from 1 species